rnacentral:lncRNA from 1 species
GUUGCCAUCAUCUCUAGGCAACUUAAGGUGCUUGCAAACCUUGGAUUUAAGAGUUGAGAAUGUCAAAAUUCAUGUACCUAAUGUGAUAUGGAGGAUGGAGCAACUAAGACAUUUGUAUCUCCCUUUGAGAUGUAAAAGCAGAACUAAGUUGAAGUUGGGUACUUUGAGCAAACUCCUAACACUUGUGAACUUCAACACCAAGAAUUGUUAUCUGAAGGAUCUUAUCAACAUGACAAAUCUUAGAGAGUUGGGGAUAAAUUUGCCCUUCAAUAUUGAAAAUUUCAAUAAGAAGGAGUUGGGCGAGAAUCCACCCAUAAUCGGAAGUAAAUAUCUUCAUUCCUUGUUUAUUGUUUCCAUUGGGGAAUCCGGCUCAGAAAUAGAUCCAAGACAUUUGGCCCACCUCCUUUCAAAUUGUACUAGUAUUUGCAACUUAAGUAUAGCAGCAAGGAUAAGUGAGUUACCAGAGUAUCACUACUUCUCUUCCCAUCUCGCUUACAUACGGUUGAGUUGGUUCAAGUUUAGGAAAGAUCCAAUGCCAACACUAGAGAAGCUGCCUAACUUAAGGAUUCUUGAAUUCGAAAGUUCUUUCAAAGGAAAGGAAAUGUUUUGCUCUGUUCAGGGUUUUCCUAAACUUGAGUCUCUAAUCCUUGGGGGGCUCGAAAAUUUGGAGGAGUGGAAGAUGGAUGAAGGAGCCAUGCCUUUUCUUCAGCGAUUGGAGAUCACGUAUUGCAGAAGAUUGAAGAUGCUUCCAGAGGGAUUGAGGUUCAUUACAACCCUCAAAGAACUGAAGAUUGAAUUAAUGCCAAAGGCAUUCAAAGAUAGAUUGGAGGAAGGAGGAGAAGAUUUCUACAAAGUCAAACAUGUUCCUUCUAUCAUAUUCCAAAACUGGGGCUAAUAGAUUGAAUGAUAAUUGAGAGGUAAUUUCAUGACCUCUAGUUUAGGAAAUGAUUCCUACUUUCUUUGCUUUUUAUAUAUCUUUCGUUUUUGACAAUAUCUCACAUUCUCACUCCAUUUGUCAACACACCAAUGAAUAAUUACAUUUAUUAAAAGUCAAAGGAAGUCAGACAUUGAUAUUUUCAGUUUUGCUUUUCAGGUAAAGACGCCAUUUUUUUCACCUGCUACUGCUAUUCGCGAGAUCAAAUCUAUAAUUAAAAUUACUCCUAUUAUAAGUGGCGUGUGAACGUGUGUUAUAUGGUGAGAUUUGGAAUUAUCUUCUCUCUUGUAUAUAUCUAUGGUUGUUGAAUGUUUGUUGUUUUCUUCAAAUUACAAUAAAACGGUUGCAAGAUGUGGUAUUGGAAGAAUGGGAGGUGUCUGGAUUAGCAAGGUACCAAACCCCUCCUCCAUUUCAAUUUCCUUUUUUUGUCUUUUAAAACAUAAAAUUGCAGAUAAUGAGACGUCACUGACCUUUGUUCCCACAUAGCUUUGGUUUGCGGUGACCAUUCCUAUAUUUAUUUGUUAGCUUUGCUUUCUCUUUCUUUUUUUUCCCUACUUAAGUCUGCUUGAGUCUUUUUCUUUUUUUAUAUGUACUUAAUGUAAUAGUAGAAGCCAAGGCAGGACCAUGCUUUUCUAUUGUAAAAUUCAUCACUUCGUUAUUUUAUAUUUGUAUGUUGGACACAUUUCCCGUUUCAACAUAUUUUCUUAUUUUAUGAAAGUCGAUUGGUAUUCAUCAUAAAAAUUACGAUAUUAUAUCAAGUUUAAUGGUUACUGUAGAAGCCCAAAUUUGCCCGGGCCCUACCAGCAAAACAAAUUUCAGCCCAAAUGGCCCAGUUACAUUACAAAAUUAAUUGGACUAGCCCAAACACCAACCCACAAGCCCAAUUACAACCCAAACCCGAGGACCAAAUUCGGAGCCCAAUUCCCUCCAAAAAUCCAACUAGGGUUUUUGAAAAAUGAAACCCUAGCCAAACCUAGCGCCGCAUCCAUCCCUCUGCCGUUCGCCUUGUCCCAUCGCCACCCACCGUGCCUAGCUUCAUCAACACCUGCAAAAUGACAGAAAAAGCCGGAGCACGCAACAGAUAGUGCAAAACAAUAGAAUACAACCAAAAAAAUACAAUGUAAAUUGGCUAUAAAAGCCAAACAAAAUCUCUGUACAAUUUUUUUUUACACAGCGUUUUGAAUCCAAAAAAAAGAAAAACAGAUCAAAAGGUUGACUCCAAUUUAUUCUUCUCUGUUCUUGUUUCUUAUUUACUUUACUAUUUAUUUAUUGUUUAUUUUUUUUCGCACUCGUUCAACAAAGAAAAAGGAAUUGAAAGGGAGAGGAGAAAAUACCUUACCGCUUCGACGGGCUGGUGUCGGAACCCCACCCUUGCCGUCGUCGGAGUCGAGCCAAAAGGGGCGUCUCAUCCCUUUUCCUUUUGAUCUCGCGGUUGAUAAGGCUUAGCCUUCGGGGACGCCGCAAAAGGGGGAGGCCUAGGGGCCGUUCUCGCGCAACUCCGGCCAUUGGCCAUGGAGGCGGAGAUGGCGGCCUGAGCUUAAGGGCCGAGAGAGGCGUAGGGAGGAGAGCAUUCAGGCUCUCAGUUUUCCUUUUUUUGCUUUUUUUUAUUUUCUUUUUCUUUGUUUGUUUAAAAGAUGAAUGGAGGCUAUCAGAUUAGGGUUCUUCUUGGCCCUUAUGUGAUGUUUGAAACGACGCCGUUUGGAGUCUGAUCAGUGACUCUAAAACGGCGUCGUAUUGGGCUCGACCCGCGCAUUGACCCGAUGGACCCCAAGGAUCCGCGUGUUUCGGACUGAGGGUCUAUUUACCCUUUCAGUCCUUCCGAUUCUGGGCUUCCCUCCAAUCUAGUCCUUUUUUUUUAACUUUCCUCCCUAGGGAUUUUGCUUUGUUUUUAAUUUAGUUCUGCUUUUUAUUAUUUUAUUUUAAAAUAAUUAUUUUUAUCUUAAAAUUAAUUAGUUUUAUUAUCAUUAUUAUUGCUUUUAUUUCUCUUAUUUGCCUUAUUAUUUAUCCAUUUAUACUGUUUUUGGAUUAUGUUAUAUAUAUGCAUACUUAUACACAUAUACUUACAUUUUCAUACAUUUCGUAAUUAUAUAUAUAUAUAUACAUAUUUUUAUAACAUGUAUACUCGUAUAACUUUCCAAGUUUACUCACAUAUGUAUAGCUACUUAGAUAUAUAUUAUUUAUAUUUUAUACUUUAAUAUACGAACACACAUAUUUUAUUUUUAUGAGCAUUUAUACAUAUUUAUCUUUUAUUAUUUUAUGUAUAUAGCUGCAUGUCUAUAUAUAUAUUUUCAAUUUUCAUAAAUAUAUACUUAUGUACUUUAUAUCUUAUACCUCAUAUUAUAUACGUAUUUUUAAUUUCCACAUCUAUAUACUUUAUAUCUCAUUUAUGUAUAUAUCCUUGUAUACAUAUACUUUCAUAUACUUUAUAAUGCAUACAUGCACAUAAUAUAUAUGUACGUUUUAUUUUCAUAAAAACAUAUACAUAUACUUACUUUUAUACUUUAUAUAUUUCAUAACUUUAUGUAUAUACAUAAACGUACACAUACAUAUUUACAUAUAUUUUUACAUACAUAGAUUUUUCACAUUUUUAUAAUUUUACACACACACAUAUAUCUUUUUACCCUUUUUUAUAAUCUUACUCAUCUAUUUAUUUGUUUCAUUUUCAUUAUUGAUUUGAAUGAAUGCUUUAAUUUUAUUUACUCGUACACAUUACUAUUUCGUAUGUUAUUGAUUCGUACUUUGUAUUUAUCUUAUUUUUGUUACAAUCGCUCGUAUUAUUUUUGCACUAUUGUAUUCAAUAUCGUUUUGUUACGAGUAUGAACAUCGUGUUUUAUUAUUUCAUGUUGGAUUAAUUUAUUUCAAUGCAUAAACUACGAUUUUUUGAAUAAGCAAAAUCUCGUGUUUAGAUUUGAGAAUGUCGUACCCUAACUUACUGGGUCUCGAUUUUCCCAAUAAAUCUAAAUACACGAAUCUUUUCAAACUCAAGUUUUAAACGAUAUCGGGAAUUAAAAAAGGACCGUGUCUUAACUUACUGGUCGUGAUUCCUUUUCUAAUCCAAGAUAGUUAAAUACUUUUUAAAUAAGCAUUUUUUUGUAUAUUGAGAAUUCGAGAUAUUGUGUCCUAACUUACUGGAUACGAUUCUCUUUCUCGAUUAACAUAAGAUAUGCUUCUUUUCCCAAAUUUUUAAUGUUUAAUACAAGGAUCGUACUUUUAAUUCUUUCAAGUUCUCAAUUUUCAACAUCAAGACGUUAGAUAAUUAACUAGGUACCAAUUUCUGGGCGUUACGAGGGUGCUAACCCUUCCUCGUACGUAACCGACUCCCGAACCCGUUUUCUAGAUUCCGUAGAUCAAAACCGUUGUUUUAAUAAAACCAAAUUAUUUAUUAAAAACAACAUUUUUCCAAGGUGACCCAAUCACACUUCAAAAAGGAUUGGUGGCGACUCCCAUUUCAUUUUCAAAACCCAAGUCGACCCCGUUUUUUCAUCAAAAAAAAUGGUGUCAACAGUUACACUUCCAAAACAAAAAAUAGGAAAAAUUAAAUCUUACCAACUAAUAACACUUCCAAAUUACAUUGUCUUACAGAAAAAAAGAAGAUACAGUUUGAAUUUUUUUAUCAAAUGAUUUGGCAAGCUAUGCUUUAUAAAAAAGGCAAGGGAAUCAAAGAUUCCAAAAUCGAUAUUUAGAUUCAAGAUUUUGUAUCCCCAUGCUUUGCUUCUUAUAUCUACCAACAAUAUCUUGAUGAUAACAAACUAAAAAAAAAAUAUUCAAGGGAAUCGAAGAUUUCAAAUCCAACUUAAUCGAUUGAAAAUUUCACAUCCACUUAAUUAAUUCAAAUGAUAUUUAUUCAACAAGUUUAAAUUAAAAACUGCAAGAAUCUUCAUUUAUCUUUUAUUCGAAAUGUAAUUCGGAUUCAAUGAAAAUAUUGAACAUAUAAUGUGUGCACAUGGAAAUGUCCAAAUCUUUAAAUAUAGGGUCCACAUGGGAGAAAUCUUUAAAAUUCAUUAUGAUCCUAUUGUUUUCGUUAUAAAACUCAAUAUCUUAUUCGGAUUAGGAUACGAGCGAAUAACAGCUAACUAUUUGUAGUUCAAGGUGUGAUAAAAUCUCAGUAGCUAAGAUAUGAAUGUUGCAAAAUACCAUACAAAACCACAGCCACAUUUGUUGGUAUGACUAAUUUGGGUAAUCAAAGGAAAAAAAUGUUAGCUGUUGAGCAAACAAGGUGAACAGAUUAGAUAUUCGAAUUCCGUUCAAGCACUUGACAAAUCCUUUCUGCAAUGGCUUCAGCACGCAUCCUAGGACCUUCAUCAUCUGCAAAAACCGACCAUUUCUAACAACUAAGCUAACAUCACACAUGAUAAUAUAUGUAUAUUACAUAUAUAGAAGAUGAUUAUGUGGAUUAAAAGCUAUUUUAGUUUGACUCAAUACAUGACCAUGGGACAUGCACGAUUCUUCAAUAACGAUAUGAAAAUACUUGGAAGAAAAAUUAAAUAUAUCAAUAUCUAACAUUUACAUCUGAGUUCGAGUAAACUAAAACAUGUCAUUCUAUCUAAACAUGCAAAAUAUCCAAAACUCUUGACGAAUGUUAGAUACAAAUAUGUAGAAUGUACCCAAAAUACCCAUCUCGAACUCAGUAGAGAAAUAUCUAGCACUCAAAAGGCACUAGCUUCAACCAAGAACAAGGAAGUUUCUUCAAAGGCUUGAUAUACUUUCUUCACAGCCAUAUAUAUGUGUGCAUAUACCCAUAUUAAGGAUGAUUGUUUUGGCAAAGAGGAUGAGAAGAAAGAAAGAAAACCUUUAAUCCAAUGACAAUAUUUGAUUAUAACAACACGACACAUAUAAUUGUGAUUAAAAUUGCGGUCACAAACAUGUUUGCAAUCACAUCAUGUUAACGAAUACUAUCACAAUCAAUUGCAAUAAAUAUCCACAACAACAAGAGCCAGAAUCCUAAAAUAACAAAGAUAAUACAUUACAGCUGUUAAGGAAUUUUCAAUAACGUAUAUACCUGCAAGAUUUUCAGUGAUGACACAACAAAGUUCACACCAGACAACUUCCCGAUCUAAUGAAAUUUUCAAACAUAUCAUGUCAUAAGUUUCAAGAUCAACUGAAACAUGAGGAUUCCAAGUAUGAUAAGAAAUUAAAUUAAGGAUUUUCUACUGCAAACCUACCACGAAAACAUAAUUUUUAUUAGGAUCAAAAGCAUAGCCCAUCAUGGCAACAUUAUUGAGUCCAUUUUCAGAGGAAAAUCCUGAAACAUGUUACAGGCAAAUAUUAAGAAAAACAAUGCACAAGCGUAAGUACAAAAACAUAGCAUGCAAGAAAUCAAUACUUGAAAGGAUUAAAAUCACUGCUAACCUAAGACAUUGAAUCUAGCACCACUAGGAAACAUCCAAAAUGAUACUUGUCUUUCAAUGUUGAGAUACAUAGGUCCAAGUCUGCCAUGUUGUGCCAAACGGGAAUUCAUCAACCUCUUGAGAACCUAAAGGAUGAAAAGUUCCAGUCCAAGUUAUAUAUAGACACACACACAGAUAGACAUGAAGAAAGUUGGGUUAAUGGUGUAUUAUUUAAGUAAAGAAAAAGUUGAAAUCUUGAACCUAUAAAUAUUAGGUAACAGCUAGUGCUAAAAGUGCAUAAAGUUCUGCUAUUAUCUACAAGAAACAAUGGACGAAUCACAUACAUUGUUUAUAUUCACUUUUCUUGCUACACAAGCAAGCUGAGGCCAUAAACAAACGCAUACCUUUUUCUCUGUUUUUAAAUGGUUUUCUUGUUUUUUUGGUGAGACCUCGUCAUCCUCAAGGAGUAAGUGGUCAAGCAUGAAGAUGAUGGGAAGACCACAAGUCGAUGGUGGUCGAUCCAUGAGUUGAUUAUGAGUAGUUUCAUGUUAUGAAAUAAAAAUGUUAGCUAAAGUUAGUUGAACGCUGUGUUUUAGGGCUGAGGGUUUAAUGAAACUAUAAGUUUUGAUGUUGAAUGAAAAUGGUGCGUAUUGACAGUUUGUUACAACUGCUCGAGGAACAGCCCUAUAACAGACUUUGUAACUGCCAAUUCUCAGCCAUAAUAGAAACCGGCAUGGGAAAUGAGCAGAUAUGCCAUUUUGUGAAGGAAAUCAAUUCUUUCUUCUUCCACGAUUCUCUUUCUCUUCUCUCUUUUUCUUUCUUCCUCUAUUCUGUUGAAAUUAUGCAUCACUUCACCAGCAUUCAUCAUUGUGGACGUAUCUGAUCUUCAGUCUCUGGUUUACUGCCCAUGUAAAGUUAUGGAAAGGAAUGCAAAUUUAAAAGGUUUUCUUGCUAUUGUCUAUGCAAUUUCAUGUGUGCGUGAAAGGAGAUGAAGAUUAAUAGAGUAAUACUGAUAUACCAACAAUUCAUUAAUUGAAGUACUAUCAAUAUUAUCAACAAGUAACAGAAUUAAGUGAGUAUACUAAUAUAGUCUAGAAAAACAAUUUAAUUAAUAAUACCAUAGGGAUGGCAACAGGGUGAAGUUGCUAUUGCUAUUUAUAUCUCUGCUGUUAGCUUUUGACGACUUCAAGUAAACCACAAUCACAAGUGUUGUUCUUAUUACCUGCAAAAACACAGCCAACAAUCUGAAUCCAUAUCCCCAUUUUAGGAACAAAUGCAUGGUGUACCAUUUGUUUCGAAGCCAAAUCAAUUUUCUUAAUUUUUCUUUAAGUAAAACCGUAUCUGACACUUAUAUUCAACACAUAUUCAUGUAUUGGUAUGAAGAUAUGACAUUCUUAUCCUAUACUCAUACCCGUGCUCAAGUAACAUAAGCUGAUCCCGCAAGAUAACUGAUUUAACAUCGCUUUGCUGCUAGCUAUUGAUGAUUUCACCAAGUAAACUGCAAUCACAAGUGUUGUUCUUAUUCCUUGCAAAAACACAGUCAACAAUCUGAAUCCACAUUCCCAUUUUCGGAACAAAACCAUGGCGUACCAUUUGUUUCAAAGCCCAAUCAACUUCCUUUACCAUCUUCCCCUUACAAAAACCAUGAAUCAACUUCUUGUAUGAAUCAAAACUAGGAUUAACCCUCUCGAAAACCAUUCUCCCCAUAAUCUCCUUUGCUUCCAUAAACCUCGCAGCAUCAAGCAAACCGUACAACACCUCUUGAUAAGACCCUGCAUUGGGAUAACACCCUUUCUUUUUCAUAAUUUCCAACAGCUUCACACCUUCAUCAAUCCUACCUUGUUUCCUAAGACCUGAAAUCAAGAUAUUAAAGCUAACAGCAUCAGCAUCGAUUCCUUCCGUUUCCAUCCUCCCCAUCAACUCAAAAGCUUCAUCAACCUUCCCCUUAUCGCACAACCCGUGCAUUAAAGUAGAAUAUGUUCUAACAUUAGGCUUACACCUUUGCUUAGGAAAUUCAUCGAGCAGUUGGAAUGCAAACUCUAAUUUCCCAUUUGCACACAACCCUUUAAUGAGAAUAUUCAGAGUACAAGCUUCGAUUUCAACACCCAAAUUGGGAGCUUUCCCAUAAACCUCGUGAACAACAUCAAAUAGUUUGUUCGAUACGAGUAAGCUCAAUACGAUAUUGAACGUUUUAACACUAGGCCAAGUCCCAUAUUCUGGCAUGCUAAAAAGGAUCUCGAUUGCCCUUUUGAUUCGACCUCCGACAUGCCCAUACUUUUUAAUCACAUUCUGGAAGAAUUCAUCGGAUAAACGACAGGCUUUUUCACGUUUGAGCUUUUCCAUUAUAUUUUCAAUGGAAUCAAAAUCCUGGGCAUAUGCGAGCUUGUUGAUGAGCAAAGUGAAGAGAGGUUCAGUUGGUUUAUAAUCCUUGCGAGCUGAGUAUUGGGCUAGGACUGAAAUGAGAGAGUUUGGAUCUUUAAGAUUAUCAAAGAUUUUGAGGAUUUCGGUCGGGGAGAGCCAGUCUUUGUGGGUUAGUUUGAAAAGGGGAGGGGAAGUGGUGUGGGUUGGUUGAUGGUAGCUGGAAAGUGAGGAGAAAAACGAAAGGGAUUUAAGAGAUGAGAUUUUAGUGGUGAUUGGAUGUUGAAAAAGUGAGGGAAAAUAUUGGGGGUAAGAGCUUUUGAUAGAAGAAAGAAGGGAACGUGUAAUCAUGCGUUUGGCCAUUGGAGAAUGUAGAAACUGGAGAGCUAGAAGCUUUCUGCUAUUCGCACUAUAAACAUAGGGUAAGGGAAAGGCUUAAUACUUGUUUUGUCCCCUGUAAUAUAGGAAAAAUCUCAUUUUGACCCCUGUAAUAUAGUGAAAAUCUUAUUUUGAUCCCUGUAAAUUGCCUGCUUACUUUCAUUUCGUCCAUCAUGUUAGUCUAUUGAUCAUUUCCGUAAAUCCCAUGUGUUAGUGUUCCUAUAUUAUAGUAUUCAUCCAUAUACUUUAACCCUCCACGUAGUCGCAAUCAAUUGGCUUAAAUGAUCACACACGAGGAUCACUAUAGUACAAGGACCAAAGUGAGAAUUUUAUUAUUAAUUAAGUGAUGAACACGUAAACAUGCACUAAUUUUUUUAUACAGAAAUGGUCAAAGGAUUAAAGUGAUAGAUGAAAUGAAAGUAAAGGGCGCAAAGUGAUUGGAAAAGUAGUAAAAGGUUGGAAAAUAUUAAGAGAUUGUAUGAUGCAAAACUUAAAUAAUUUAUCUACUGAAAUUUUGAGGUGUAUUAUUUUGAAGUAAUGAAUCAUUGUUAUUUACAACUAUAUAUUAUAUCUCUUUGAAAUGUACAAAUAAAUUAAUGGGCAGAAUGUUUAUGAAUGUCAGAACUUUAUUUUUGCUUCUUCUUCCCUUCAAGAAUUGGUUGGAUUUGGAGAUGCCUAUUGAAAGCCGGGUUGAAAAGGAAUUGAGUUUGGAAUUCUGAAAAGAUCGGAAUCCAUGCCAAUAUAGCAAUUGGAAAGAAAAGGAUCGAUCCCAUUCCGUAAUCAUAUGACUUAGCUAAUACCUCAGUGAACUGCCAGAGUCCGGUGUUCUCAAUAAUUGGCCUCACAGCUUGAGCAACCUGAAGGGAACUAAAAUGUCAGAGGGAAUAAGGCAAAAGAUGCAAACUCUAGACAAAUACUAUAUGCCGGUCCUCUAAAUAUAUGAACAAAUUUAGAAAAAAACUUGGGCAUGCCCGUAUUUGAUACUUGAAUUCGAGUAACAUAGUCAACUAGACAUACCAAAAUCAGACCCCAUCCAGUCGGCAGAAAUGCAAGACAGCAGACAAGUAAAUCCUUGGACGACAGUUCACAGAUGACUGAGAGAGUGAUAACAAUGGCGAAAACACUUAGGAAGAGGAAUGCUUUAAAGAACCUAAACAUCAGAUGGUAACGAGCACUGAAAAGUUGCCUUCCAAUGUUCACUGCCUGUAUGUCAUGUAGAGAUCGAGUUAUCCAAGCAGAAAAUUCAAGGCUACUUCGGAAUUUUCAAAAUAAAACUCAAUAUACUUGAGCAUUAUGAUACUUGAAUGAAUUUUACCUUGACCGUCAGGAAAACUGCCAGAAUCACAACCCAGGAAAGCACAUAAACAAGGAAAUUUUUGCUCUGUUGGGAGAUGUCAAGAUGAUACACCAAGCCAUACUGAUACAAGAAGAACCGAAUUGAAAGAAGAAUUUCAAACAGUCUAGCACCAUAUCCUGAACGACGAAGGUGAGCUUGUUCAUCAUUCCACCAAGAUUGCCAACUCUUGUUUUGCUGAAUCCCAAUACUACCUUUCUCCUUGAUCCACUUAUUCCAGCCUUUCCAAUCAUCUACAAUCUUGUCCCAAUCGAAUCCGGAAGGAUUAAACAAAAAUGGUGCAAAUAACCAAGUCAUGGUCAUGAACCAAACAGAGUACGUGAUUAAUACAUAUGCCAUGCUACUCUGGUAGGACCUCCGGAACAAAUCGUAAACCACUAACAGGAGAAACAGUUCAAAUCCUUUAACAAAGUGGCUUCGUGAAUACAAUCUGUAGUUCUCAGUAAAGCUGGCAUGAAACACCACAACCUUACGUCCGGUAGGUAUAUACUUAGCUCCGCCAUACAUAAUUGUCCGACCAAAAUGAUGGGUUUUUGUCCCAAGGGAAAAAGUGAAGAAAACAGCAGCAAACUGCAGUUGCAUAAGAACAAAAUCUUGUUCUUGAUAUGUAUUACAUUCCGACCAAGACGGUGUAUGUCACGGCUUAAAGUUUGUUCACUAUUCCCAUUAGCAACUUUGGCCUCGAACUUUGAGAUUUGAUUAAGACCUACAUCACGACCUUUGCCAACUUGCAGGUACUCGUGAUAUGUAAUACAUCCCCGUCGCAGGGUCGAGUUAAAUCCUACACAAGGUAUCAAAUAUAUUUCACUGCAAGGAAACCACAAGUCUAGGACUAAACGGUUGGUAUACAAUAUCGGAAUUCACAAAACCUACCGGCAAAAACAUCCUCACUCAAGUUUAUUGUUUUUGAUGCUUUGCUUAUUCCACCCCUUGUGAUGUGAAACAGCCUAUCAAAUACAUCUGGAUGCCCAUAGUGGAAGCGAACCCUGUAUAUUAAUCGAAAGUGAAGAAUAAAGCAAUAAACACAUUGGUUGAUAUCAAGUAAUUAUAGAAUAGAACAAUCUAGGCCUUAGGCUAACAAGAAGUAGUGAACAAACACUGACAAUAUGGCAUCACAAAGACACCCAAUUCGGUAACUUUACCAAGAACAUGAAACUAACUCCUACUUCCACCAGGGUGGCUAUGCGUUAAGGGUAGAUAAGGGUUGACUCCUGUUUGUAUAUUCGAUAAAAACAAAUAUUGUAGAUGUUGCAAAACCAAGAUAAGAUUGCUCGAAAUAAUAAUUCUGUCGAUGUUAAUUUGUCGAGUACCGUAAUGUAGAUGAUAGCAGAUACAAGAAAGACACAUGCAGUUGAUUAUAAGUAGUAUGAUAUACCGAUAUCUGCAAAAUGAAAUACAGCAUCAAUUACCUGAGAGGAUUGGCAAGAAGCCUUUGACCAAUGGUGACAAAGCUGGUUUCCUGAUACGACAUAAACCAUGCUAAAGCAGAAACACUGCAGUUUGAAAGAAUGUAAUUCAGUCAUUAAGGAGACAAAAAACUUCCGGUUUCACAUAAAUGAAUGAUGGAUUCCUCCACAAAAAAUGAAACAUGAUGAUAUAAAAACUAAAUCCAAUUUUGCUUGAAAUAAUAUCUUAUAUCUAUAGUUUAAUUCCUCUGUGAUUCCUUAUGUUUGUGUCGAAGCAUCUACCCUAAAACUAAGGGAUAUUACUUUAAUAUAAGACCACUGAAAACCAAAUACUUAACAGCUCUGGGAUCAUACCACUUUAACAGUUUGUGAAGUUGGUUUACUAGAGAUUAUAUUUGUCCUGUGUUCGAGUUCUCAGAUAUUGCUAGGUUGUUUCUCAUUCUUGCUCGGUCCUUACUAAAUAUUAAUGCAUUAGCUAAUACAUGAAAACAUGUCCACUGACAGAUUCUUAUUAUCAUUUUUAUGAGUUCAAAGGAUUAAACCUUUCAGUGAAUAUGUAUUCCCUCAGACCAAGUAUUGUAGGAGGGCGCCGCCCACGGUUAUGAUGAAACUCUUGCAGAAGAUUUCUCACUUUAAGAGCUUCUUCCAAAUAAUUGUCCUGAAAUUUUGGACCAGUAUGAGACUAGAAAUGCAUGCAAAGCAACAAAUUUUCAGUUUUUGGAGCAAGAACCUACUUGGUUCAUGUCAAUUGUUUGGAGAGCUUCUCCACGUGUGAAGAUUAUGGCAUGGUUUUGAUUUUCUGGCUUCCCUUCACCAAUGAUUGGUGGACCAGGAAGCUUUAUGCGAUAGAUUACCUGUAGAAGGAUACUAAUGAGAUAUGCUUUAAGACUGCAUUUUAGUAUAGAAUCACAAACAGGGCAUGUUAACAGGAAUUACGACUUUACAAAUAUCCAUAUGAUCACUUAAUUUAAGAAUAGAUAUAAAUAAGCUACUAGGACUUAGAGGUGAGGUUCAGAUACAGGCAUGUGCUUGACACAGGUAUUAUUGAAGUUAUAGUCAGCAUGCAGCAACCAAGACUGUCAAAGGCACUACAUGCAGAAGCUGCUGGUUCACCUAGUCAGCAAGCUGUUAUGUUUCAUUUUGUAAUUUUUAAGUUAGAGUAAUGUAACUUAGUUGCUUUAUAACUAUGUUAGGUUUAUGCUUGAUGUAAUUUUGAUGUUGAUUGAGCUGAUAAAUCAGCUUUGUUUAUUUGUUCAAGCUAAUUAGCACAAGUUACUAUGUGUAUUAGUGGUAGUAGGUGAAGUUUAGGUCAACCUACUGUUUUGUCAAGAUUGUAAACUUGUUUAUGUAUUGGCUUUGGGCCAUUUUGAAGUUUAAGGAAUGAAUUCAACAAGUUUUCAUCUAUAUGCUCUCCAUUUUUAGUUUUGCUUAAAAAUCCAUUUGAGUUUUCUGCUUUGUUUCUCCUACAAGUCACGAGACUUGCAAAACAAGCAUUCUGCUGAAGCUUGCUGUUGCUGCCUCUUGCUCCAACAAUUGGUAUCUAGAGCCGUAUUCUUAGAGGACCUGUUGUAGUUCAACAUCAAAACGAUGGCAUCAUCAGGUUUUUCACCAGCUUCACCACCUGUCUUCAAUGGAGAGGGCUUCAACAUUUGGGCAGUUAAGAUGAGGACUUACCUGCAGGCAUUCGACCUAUGGGAAGUUGUCAACUCAGAUGCUGAGCCAGCACCUCUUCGAGCUAAUCCAACAGUUGCUCAAAUAAGGCAACACACUGAUGAAAGAACAAAAAGGCACAAGGCCAUGUCAUGCAUACAGAAUUGUGUGACAGAUGUGAUCUUUAUGAGGAUCAUGGCCUGUGAAACACCAAAGGAGGCUUGGGACAAGCUGAAAGAAGAAUUUCAGGGGACUGAGAAAACAAGGCAACAACAGCUGCUCAACUUGAGAAGAGAUUUCGAAAAUCUCAAAAUGAAAGAGGAAGAAACAGUUAAGCAGUACUCAGAUCGGAUUAUGGCUGUUGUAAACAGCAUAAGGCUCCUAGGAGAGCAAUUCAGUGAAGCUAGAAUGGUUGAGAAAGUCAUGUCCACUCUACCAGAGAGGUAUGAAGCUAAAAUUUCAUCCCUCGAAGACUCAAGGGACUUGACAACUAUCUCCUUAACUGAGCUAAUCAAUGCCUUGUAUGCACAAGAGCAAAGAAGAGCCAGCAGACAAGAGGAGCACCAGGAAGGGGCUUUUCAAGCCAAAGAAGCCUCGAGCAUCAAAACUCAUAAAGGCAAAAAGUUCUGGAAAAACAGGCCUAAGCCUGAUGCUGCUAGGAGCAGUGACCAACUCUGCAGACAUUGUAAAAGAGCUGGUCAUCCAGAAGAUAGAUGCUGGUUUAGACCAGAUGCAGUAUGUCAACACUGCAAGAAAAAAGGCCAUGCUGAAAAAGUUUGCAAGAAUAGAAGCAAACCAAGACAGAAUCAAUUUCAGCAACAAAAGGUAGAAGCUCGAGUAGCUGAAGAAAGCAGUGAUCAAGAAGAACAUGUUUUUGCUGUGUCAUGUGCAGCAAAUCAGAAAAAGGGUUCAAAGGGCUGGCUUCUAGACAGUGGGUGCACAAACCACAUGUCACCAGAUGCAACUAUCUUCAAAACCCUGGACAGAACCUGCAAAACCAAAGUAAAAAUUGGAAAUGGUCAGUUAAUCAAUGCUGAAGGAAGAGGAGAUGUGCUGAUACAUACCUCUACAGGUGGCAAAAUCAUUUCAAAUGUACUUUUGGUACCUGAAAUUGAUAGGAACCUUCUCAGUAUAACUCAACUACUUGAGAAAGGUUACUCAGUUGUUUUCAAGGAGAAAGAAUGUCAAAUUUUUGAUCCAAGUGGAUCAAACCUCAUAACAGUCACCAUGACUGAUAAAUGUUUUGAAGUAGACUGGCCAAAUGACUCACAUUCAGCCUGCAUAGCCUCCACUGAUGACUCGAGACUCUGGCACCAGAGGCUUGGACAUGCAAACUACAAAUCCAUAGCCCGCAUGGUCAAUGAAGGUCUGGCAGAAAAUUUCAUCGAUUCAGUGAAGAAUGAUGAGCUUUGUGAGAUAUGUCAGCAAGGAAAAUUGGCAAGAUUGCCAUUUCCAACAAGCACAACAUGGAGAGCAUCAGAGAAGCUCCAGCUUGUGCAUACAGAUGUGUGUGGACCAAUGAAGACUGAGUCUCUCAAAGGAAGCAGGUACUUUAUUUUAUUUAUUGAUGACUUAACAAGAUACUGCUGGAUUUAUUUUCUAAAACAGAAGUCAGAAGUUCCAUCUGUGUUCCUGAAGUAUAAAACUGCUGUUGAAACUGAGUCUGGUUGCAAACUUAGAGCAAUGAGGUCAGAUAAUGGAACUGAGUACACCUCAGCUCAGUUCCAAGCCUACUGUGAAGAAGCAGGUAUCAAACACCAGUUGACUAAUGUGUAUACACCCCAACAGAAUGGGGUCAGUGAAAGGAAAAACAGAAGCUUGAUGAACAUGGCAAGAUGUCUUCUGUUUGAGAAGAAUUUGCCCAAAACUCUGUGGGCUGAAGCUGUUAACACAGCAGUCUAUCUCCAAAACAGGCUUCCAACCAAGGCUCUGGCUGAAAAGACUCCAUUUGAAGCCUGGUUUGGGUUUAAGCCAUCACUGGCUCAUCUCAGAACCUUUGGUUGUCUGUGCUACACACAAGUUCCAGCUGAGAAGAGAAGCAAGCUAGAUAAAAGAGCUCAAGCAGGGAUCCUGAUCGGCUAUAGCUUGGUUAAGAAGGGCUACAGAAUCCUAGAACCUGCUACAAACAAGAUAUUGGUUAGCAGGGAUGUUGUUUUCAAUGAAAAAGGACACUGGAACUGGGAGAAGGCUGAACCAGAGGCAGUGGUUGAAGAUCUCGCAGUGGACCAAGUUGAAAAUGAUGAAAACACACCUGAAAUGGAUGUAGAUGAUGUUCCAAUCAGAGGCACUCGAUCACUGGCUGAUGUUUAUGAAAGAGCACAAGUGGCUACUGUUGAACCAAGUUGCUUUGAAGAAGCAGAAAACCAGGAGGACUGGAAGCAAGCAAUGAUUGAAGAAAUCAGAAUGAUUGAAAAGAAUCAGACCUGGAGUCUGGUUGAUAAACCAACAAACAGGAAGAUUAUUGGUGUCAAAUGGGUUUAUCGAGUAAAGAACAAUGCUGAUGGUAGCCUAAACAAGUUAAAGGCUAGAUUGGUUGUGAAAGGUUUCAGUCAAAGGUAUGGGUCAGACUACCUGGAAACCUUUGCACCAGUGGCCAGGCUAGACACUAUCAGACUGCUAGUUGCCUUAGCAGCACAAAAACAGUGGCUGAUACACCAACUUGAUGUAAAAUCAGCAUUUCUGAAUGGAUUCCUUGAAGAGGAGAUUUAUGUGGAGCAACCUCAAGGUUUCAAGGUGUCUGGCAAGGAAGAAAUGGUGUACAAGCUCAACAAAGCCUUGUAUGGCUUGAAACAGGCUCCAAGGGCCUGGUAUAGCAGAAUAGAUGGCUAUCUGACCAGUCAAGGAUUUGAAAGAAGUCUUAGCGAGCCAACUCUGUAUGUUAAAUCAACUAGUGCUGAAACUCAGCUCAUUGUCUCAAUAUAUGUCGAUGACCUACUGGUGACAGGAGGAGAUUAUGAGAUGCUAAGCAGCUUUAAAGUCAAAAUGCAACAGCACUUUGAAAUGUCAGACUUGGGAUUGAUGUCUUACUUCUUAGGCAUGGAAGUGAACCAAGCUAAGAAUGGGAUUUGGCUAAGUCAAAAGACCUUUGCUAUGAAGGUUCUCAACAAAUUCUCAAUGGAGAAUUGCAAAGCAACCAGCACACCAGUUGCUGUUGGAGAAAAACUCUCGAGCCAAGACAAGCAUGAAAAGGUUUGUGAAACAACCUAUCGAAGUCUAGUUGGAUGUUUGUUGUAUUUGACUGCUACUAGACCUGACAUAAUGUAUGCUGUGAGUCUACUCUCGAGGUUUAUGCAUUGUUCAAAUGAAAGUCAUUUUAGAGCUGCAAAAAGGGUUCUAAGAUACAUCAAAGGAACUUUGUCCUAUGGAAUGCAGUUUACCAAGGCUGAGAACUUGAAGCUAGUUGGAUAUUGUGACAGUGAUUGGGCUGGUUCCUUGGAUGACAUGAAGAGCACUACAGGUUAUGCAUUCAACAUAGGCUCUGCUAUGAUUUGCUGGAGCUCAAAGAAGCAGGGAGUAGUGGCUCAGUCGACUGCAGAAGCGGAAUAUGUGGCUGCUGCUGCAGCAGUCAAUCAAGCCAUAUGGCUUAGAAAAAUUUUGAAAGAUAUCAAUCAUGAGCAAAAGGAAGCAACUGAGAUAAUGUGUGACAACCAAUCAGCAGUUGCUAUUGCAAAGAAUCCUGUUUUUCAUGGAAGGACCAAGCACUUCAACAUCAAACUUCAUGCAGUUCGAGAAAUGGAACAAGCUCAUGUUGUUAAGCUGAUACAUUGCAGUUCUGAAGAGCAAAUUGCUGAUAUUUUAACAAAAGCAGUAAGUGUUUCCAAGUUUCAACACCUGAGAGCUAAUAUGGGAGUUUGCAACAUGCUAACCAAGGAGGAGUAUUGAAGUUAUAGUCAGCAUGCAGCAACCAAGACUGUCAAAGGCACUACAUGCAGAAGCUGCUGGUUCACCUAGUCAGCAAGCUGUUAUGUUUCAUUUUGUAAUUUUUAAGUUAGAGUAAUGUAACUUAGUUGCUUUAUAACUAUGUUAGGUUUAUGCUUGAUGUAAUUUUGAUGUUGAUUGAGCUGAUAAAUCAGCUUUGUUUAUUUGUUCAAGCUAAUUAGCACAAGUUACUAUGUGUAUUAGUGGUAGUAGGUGAAGUUUAGGUCAACCUACUGUUUUGUCAAGAUUGUAAACUUGUUUAUGUAUUGGCUUUGGGCCAUUUUGAAGUUUAAGGAAUGAAUUCAACAAGUUUUCAUCUAUAUGCUCUCCAUUUUUAGUUUUGCUUAAAAAUCCAUUUGAGUUUUCUGCUUUGUUUCUCCUACAAGUCACGAGACUUGCAAAACAAGCAUUCUGCUGAAGCUUGCUGUUGCUGCCUCUUGCUCCAACAGGUAUGCUCAUUUUUUUUUUCUAAGUUCUUCCAUGUAUUUGGAGGAUUCGGCCCACAUACGCAUGUUCAAAUAUGUGUUAAACGAUGGUACUUCAAGAAAAAUAAAGAGUCAGAGUAACAUGGUAUACUCCAUGUGGACAAGUAUGCUUUUUGACGUUAUACUGUGAAUGUUAUUGAACCCAAUCUUGCUAGACAAUAAACUGACACGGCAUUUAUAUUUUUAAUUCUUUAAUCUCAAAAGGAGGAAUUGUGUACUAAUCCUAUGUUGGCAUGCAUUUUAGGUAUUGGUACACAAUUCCUCUAACUGUGACAUCUUACUUGGAGCAAAGACCAAACAUAUCUUUCCAUAGUAAUCCCUGAACUUUAUCACUUUUCUUAAGUAAUCCCCUGUAUUUUUAUGAUAACUAAACAAAUCCAUAUCCUUUUGACUUAUAACCAAAUAAUCCUUUAUUUCAUAUGAAAGAUUAAUUUAUGUUAAUGGCUUAUUUAUGUACAAAUUAAAGGUUAUAGACUUAUUCGGGAAAAAAUUAAAGGUUGAGGUAUUAUUUAGAGGCAAUAAAAGUAUAAGGGCUUAAUUGGUCCUUGGUAAGUGAUAAAAUUUAGGAGCUUUUUUGUUAAUUUAACAUCAACCUAAUAAUGUUUAAAAAACUUGAUUGACUUAAUACCUGAUCAAAAGUACCAACAGCUUUUGCCAGAAUAGAAAAAUAAACCUUUUGAGGCUUAUCUCCUAUUAUUUCUUCUUUCUCUUCAAUAUAUGCAACACGUAGAGCUGGAUACCUACAGAGAAGAAACUGUAUUUCGUUAUUUUGAUUUCUAACAUACAUCUUAUGUUUCAAUAUUUAUGCAGUUUUAUCAUAUUUAGAUAAGUUACCUUAUCAUCAAAUCCUUUACGUCUUCUGCACGAGGGUCCCCAGAAGAUUUAUGUGAGCCGAACAUUUGACAAGAGACAACAUACGUGAAUUUCAUGUCUACUAAGGCAUCUAGUUCCGCAGAUGACUUGGGAUUAUUUCGUUCAAAAACAUUAACAUCCUCGAGAACGUCUGGAUAAGCACAAGUAGCCAGGAGGAAGAAAAUAAGAGCAAUAAAAGCUGAUUAGUUUAAUCAUUCUCAUUAACUUAUAACCAUAUGCUGAUAGAAUACUUAUUAAACAUCAGAUUAUGAGCAGAGGAUCAUUAACCUUUAUACUCAGGCAUUUCAAGAAGUGCUUGUAAUUUUAAGGCUUGUCUAUAGUACAUAAUUCCUCUAACUGCCACAUCGAAAGGAAAAGAAAUAAAUUAGUAAUAUAUUUACAAGCAAUUCAAGCUUCACUUGCAAGCUCGUUAAUAUAUUUUACUAAGAAAUUUCAAGCACCUGUUCUGCUUAGCGUUUGGCCACGAAAAGAAGCCCACUUUCUAAUCUCUUCCUCCUUGCCAUCAUCUAUUAGUUCAUUAAAGUUUUGAUAUCCCAUACGCUCCAAAAAGUUCUUCCACUCAUCUAAGAAAAAUGAAGGAAUGUUAUGCACGUGGAGAUGUAUUCAAAUGGAUUUUCAAUCUUUGUUACUCAGACACAAUUACAAGUAUCAGACCCAGAUAUGUGGCUUAAACAAGUAUGCUCAAUUUUGUUUAAGUUUUUCCAUCUAUUUGGAGGGUCAUAUGUACUUAUGUCUGGAUAAGCAUCAGACAUGGGUGUUGGAUGUGGGUACUUUCAGAAAAAUAAAGUUGAAGUAACACAGUUUUCAAUAUGAUUUUCUACAAAGAUAAUAUUUUAUUACCUGGGAAGAUUUUUUGCAUAUGGAAGAUGAUAGAAACUUGUCCUUUGCUUGAUUGUAGCUCCUUCAUCGAAAAAUUGACAUCCUCCAUAUAAUGGGGGGGUCAUAACACUGUAUUAAACAGAAUAUGUUGGUUCAGAGUCUAAAAGGCUUGUUACUCUGAUGAAGCAAGGUUGUAAAUGAUACAUUAUAGUGAUUCUUAGUUAUUACAACAAAAAUUCCCAUCAUAGUACCAAUGCAAGCAACUGACAUUGGCAAAAGUGACAAAUACAAUACAUGGACAAAACACAAAGAACAACUUGGCAUCUUUAACUUUUCACGCAGCACCACAAAGAAUGCAAUUAUGAACCAAAAUUCACGUAGAAAGAUCGCUAACUUUAUAACAGAGUAAUACAAUAUGAGUACUGUUAAUGGGAAAAUCUUAUUGAAAGAGUCAAAUGAAAAGGAUAUGGGAAACUGUUUACAUAUACCUAGCCUACUUAAACUGUUAUAUACUUACAAUUUCGAAUUAUCUUCUCUUUUGUUGACAUCAGACUGGUUGACUGUUUGUUGUUUUCUUCAAAUUACAAUAAAACGGUUGCAAGAUAAGGUAUUGGAAGAAUGGGAGGUGUCUGGAUUAGCAAGGUACCAAAACCCUCCUCCAUUUCUAUUUCCUUCAAUCUAAUUUAAUUACACAUUCAUUUUUGUCUUUUAAAAUAUAAAAUUGCAGAUAAGGAGACGUCACUGACCUUUGUUCCCACAUAGCUUUGGUUUGCGGUCACCAUUCCUAUAUUUAUUUGUUAGCUUUGAUUUCUCUUCCUUUUUUUUUCCCUACUUAAGUCUGCUUGAGUCUUUUUCUUUUCUUUAUAUGUACUUAAUGUAAUAUUAGAAGCCAAGGCAGGACGAUGCUUUUCUAUUGUAAAAUUCAUGACUUUGUUGUCUAUGUUCAUUUCUACUCUUCAGUUUACUUAUUGUUUGAUAUAUAUUUGAAUAUGGAGAAUAUAAUCUUUUUUAUAUAUACAUAUUUUAGAAAAAAUUGAAUAUAUGUAUGUUGGACACAUUUCCCGUUUCAACAUAUUUCUUUAUUUUAUGCAAGUCGGUUGGUAUUUAACCAAAUAAAUUUAAUUACUAUAGUUCGGGUUAAAACUAAAAUUUUAAAAUUUAAAAAAAAUACAGAAAUUGAAGUUCACAAAUUGAAAAAAUAUACAUAUUAAAAUUGAUCAAAUUAAAAGUGCACCGAUUAACCUUAAUUUUUCUGUUAAUCUUUCUGUUCCCUUAAUUAAAUGUCCAUAUUUAAGUAGUUGGACACAUAUUCAAGUUUGAUAUUCGUCUUAAAUUCGUGCAAUACGGUUAAAUAUUGGUGAACUAGUAGUUGAUGAAGUAUUAUAUACAUUCUUGGAAUAUUGCUCCAUUCAACGAAUUUAUUUCAGCUCCAUAUGCUUAAAACACCUCCCGUUUCUACCAUAUUUCCUCAUUUUGCGUAACCCGAUUAGUAUACAACGUAAUCUUUUUCAUUGUUUAGUAUCCUAAUCCUUAACUCAAUAAUCUUUAUUAUGAUUGGGUCCAAUGAUUGCAAUUCAUCUUGACACUUCCGAAGCAGAAAACAAAAAAAAAUCAAAUUUCACCGGUUAAUUACAUGUCAACACAUAUAAUCCAUGAUAUCUUUGUCUUGAAGAUUAAAUAAGAUAAACUAAAUCACAAAGAAAAUAAACGAGUAAACAUAAUCUAGAAAUUCCAAAUUACAUUAUCUAACAAAAAUUCAAUAAGAAAUAAAUGGCUGCAUUUCAUUCUGUAGGGAUUUGCUCUUAUAUCUACCAACAAUAGCUUGAUGAUAAUAAGCUGAAAAAGAAAAGGAGUCCAAGGGAAUUGAAGAUUCUAAAUUCAGCUAGCUUAAUUGAUUCAAUAUUUCAAAUACACUUAAUUAAUACAAAUGAUAUUUAUCAAUAAAUCUAAAAUUUGCAUCCCUCAUUUGCAACCUACCUUCUAAAAACUGCCAGAAUGAAAUUAAACUAUCUUAUUUCAAUUCUCUUCAAAUUUAAGUUUACAACUUCUCUUUUUGGGUUUCCAUUUGUUUCUACUUUUAAAGCAAACAUUGAUUCAAGAAAUAUUUAUUUCAUUUGGCUUAUUUUCUUUUCUAUUUUUAUGCUACUCAGAUUCGAUGAAAAUAUUGAACAUAAUAUGUUUGCAAGUUAAAUGUCCGAGUCUUGAAAAAUAUAAGAUCGAAACGGAAGAAAUAUCCUAAAACCGAUGCUUAAAGAUUUAUAAAAUUUAGUAUAAUCAUGUUGUUUUCAUUAUUAUAAAACUCAAUGUUAAAAUGUUUAUGAUUCGAAUUAUGAUACGAGAGAAAAAUAGCUAACUAUUUUAACUUCAAGGAGUGAGAAAAUCUCAAUAUCUAAGAUAUGAAUGUUGUAAGGUACCACUCAAUCACAGCCACAUUUGUUAGUAUGGCUACUUUGGAUGAAAAGUUCUAUUCCAAGUUAUAUAUACACACAGAAAUACACAUGAAGUGGAUUAAUGGUGUAUUAUUUAAGUAAAGGAAAACGGUUCUGACUAAAAGAAAGAGUUGAAAUCUUGAACCUCCAAAUAUUGGGUAACCGCUGGUGUUAAAAAGUGCAUAAAGGUCCGCGCUUAUCUACAAGAAACAAUGGAGGAAUCACAUACGCUGUUUAUAUUCUUUUUUUUUUGCACCACAAGCAAUCCGAAACCAUAAACAAAGGAAUACUUUUUUGCCUUUUUUAAAUGGUUUUCUUCUUUCUUUUCCGCCUUUUAAAUUCUUCAUUCAAUUCAAGUUCAAGAAACCAUACUAAAUAUAUAUAUAUAUAUGUUUAUAUUCGCUUUUCUUGCUACACAAGCAAGCCAAAACCAUAAACAAAGCAUGCAUUUUUUUUCCUUUUUUUAAUGGUUUUCUUGAUUCUUUGUUGUUUUUAAAAUUCUUCAUUCAAUUCAAGUUCAAGAAACCAUAUUAAAAAAUAUAUUUAUAUUCGCUUUUUUUGCUACACAAGCAAGCUGAAACCAUAAACAAAGGCAUACCUUUUUCUCCUUUUUUAAAUGGCUUUUUUUUUUGUUUCUUUGUUGUUUUUUAGAUUCUUCGUUCAGUUCAAGUUCAAGAAACCAUACUAAAUAUAUGUGUUUAUAUUCACUUUUCUUGCUACAUAAGCAAGCCGAAACCAUAAACAAAGGCAAACCUUUUUUUUCCCUUUUUAUCUUGCUGCUUUUUAGAUUUUUUAUUCAAUUCCUAAGUUUAAGAAACCAUACUAUAUAUAUAUAUAUAUGUGUUUAUAUUCACUUUUCUUGCUACACAAGUCAACCGAAACCAUAAACAAAGGCAUAACUUUUUCGUUUUUUUUAAAAUGAUUUUUUGCUUUGCUACUUUUUUAAAUUUUUAUUCAAUUUAAGUUUAAAAAACCCUACUAUAUAUAUACACAUCUAGAGAGACAUCAUCAUCCUCAAGGAGUCAGUGAUUAAGCAUGAACUUGAUGGGAAGGCCACAAGUCGGUGAUGGUCAAAUCAUGAGUUGAUUAUGAUUAGUUUCAUAUUAUGGAAAAAAGAUGCUAGUUAAAAUUAGUUAGUUGACCGCUGCAUUUUGAGGUUGAGAGUUUAGUGAAACGAUACGUUUUGAUGUUUAAUGAAAACGGUGCGUAUUGAAAGUUUGAUACAACUAGUCGAGUAACAAGCGUGUAACAAACUUUGUAACUACCAAUUCUGAAGGCUUACAGGAACUGCCAACUUUUAAUUUUAUUUGUAAUCCUCACUUUAAAAAAAUAUUCCAAAUAUGCUUCCUCACCUUAUCAUUUUUGUUAUUUUUCAAGUGCCCUUACCAUUUUAUAUUUUUAAUGGGUAUAUUAUAAAAAUAGUCACCUAGUUAUUGCUUUCAUUCUAUUUUAUUCACUAAAUUAUUAAUUUUUUCGAUUUAAUUACUAAAUUUUUUUAAAUUAAAUAUUUUGAUCACUCUCCCAUUAAUUAUCAUUAGAUAAGUGAUAGGAAGUUAAUGUGAGCUUUUUUUAUUAGUCUAAUAAUAAAUUUAAUCAUCUAAUGUUUACACAUUCUAUUAAAUUGAUUUUAAAUAUAAAAUGUUCAAUAGAUUUAAACCUAAAUGUUUACAAAAUCUAUUGUUAUAGUUCAAAUCCUAAAAAUUUCAAUAAAUUUAAUCCUCAAAAUUUAUAAAUUUAAUUUUAAUUCUAACUCAUGGAUGAAUUAAGCAAAUUAAAUCAAAUCAAAUCAAUAGAACAAGGAAUUUAAUUAAAAAGAAAUUCUUCACAUGCAUCAAGGAGGGACUUCCUCUGGUGGUAUCAAGGGGAUUGAUAGAAACAGCUCAGGCUCGAACAAGAACUUCAUUGGGCUUAAGAUCUGGAACAGACACAUCGGAUCAAAGCUGCAACACCUCAGGUCCACCGAACCGAGCCAGCAAUACCGCACUGCAACUGUUGACAUAGCACCGAAUUGAACCCACUUUCAAUGAUAUGAUAACUCCAUAAAGGGUUUGGGUUUUAAGCUUUGAAAGUUCCCCUUUUUCUUCUCAAAUUUUCUGAACUUCAGCUCCUUCCUUUUGUUAAAUGAAGGAAAAGCAAAGGAGAGACACCGAAGUGUUUUAAUCCACAUAGAAAAUAGUGAUUGUGACUUGUGAGUGUUGGCCUGGGGGCUUGGAAGAAGAAGAUGAAUAUUGCAUAAUCGAUUUUUAAUUGCUUAUUACAUUCAUAAUUAAAUAAAUAAACAUUUCUAACCUUAUCAAUUAAAUCAAGUUAGAAUGUUCAACUUGAUUUUUGUUUGUUAUAAGGAUCAUAUAUUAUAAAAUUUAAUUUAAUUUUAAUAAUUAUAUAAUACUAUUUUUAAUUAUAUCAUCUGAUACCAUCUUGAGGGCUAAAUUUAGAAUUAAAAUUAAAUUGACAAAUUUUAGAAAUUUUGAGCUUAAAUUUAUUUUUAUUUUUAGGAAUUUGAAAUAAAAUGAGAAAUUUUGUAAAUAUUGAGAAUUAAAUUUGUUGGAAAUUUUAUAUUUAGAAUCAAAUGGUAGAAUGUCUAAACAUUAGGGGGCUAAAUUUAUUAUUAGACCAAUAAAAAACAAGUUCAUAUCAAUUUCCCGUCACUCAUCUAAUUGCAACUAAUGAGGAAGUGAUCAAAAUAUUUAACUUCUAAAAAUUUAAUGACUAAAUAAAAAAAUUAACAUUUAAGUGAUCAAAAUAGAAUGAAAUCAAUAAUUUGAUGAGCAUUUUUGUACUGUACCCUAUCUUAAUCCAUCUCAGAACAAAAUUUCUCCGCCUUUGCCUAAUUUCUGUGUCUUUGUCAAAUUUUAAUAGAAUUAACAUUUUUAUUUAAAAAAUAUCUUUAAUCGUUUAAUAUAUUUUUAAUAAGUAAAUGUUAAUUCCGUUAAGGGUCAGUUUGUUUACACGUAAAAAGUUAAAAAUAAAAGUUUGUUUACACGUAAAAAGUUAAAAAUAAAAAUAUUGAGUUCUAUAAUAUGAGUCUAUUGAACCGAUUCAAUCAUAAAUAUUAUUAUUAUUGGUUUAUAUAAUGGUUUGAUUUUGAAAAUAUUUGGUUUAACAUUUAGUCAUCCCUUUGAUCAAUUUUAAAUUUUAGAAAUAAUUUUGUUUUUUGUUUACAUUUAAAUGUACAGUUUCUAAUGCAUAUGUGUUACAUUUGAUUUCAAGCCAUUAAUCCUUAAUUACUUUUUAAAAUAAUACUUUCUUUUAAUUUUUAAAUAAUGUAUAAAUUUAUAAUUAUAUAAGAAAGUAAACUAUAAUAUUAAAUUUUUAAAAAUUAAGUAAAACAACAUGCAAUAAUUUUCAUAAUAAUUAAUGAUAAAUAAGAAAAAUAUUCACAAUUAUAAAACAAACCGUUUAAGAGUAUAUAAACUACUUAUACAAAAUUCUUUUAAAUUAAAGAUGAAAUUAUAUAUAUAUAAAUAACAAAUGAAAUUAUAUAUACAAAUUUAUAAGUGAAAAAUAUACAUAAUUAUAUUCAUAAAAAGUACAUAUGACAAUAUACAAACAAGGCUAUAAAGUAAUUCAUAGGAACAUGGCUUUCUUGUUUGUAUUCUCAUUCGAUUAUGAAUAUACCUUUCUUGUUAGUAUUCUCAUUAUUUUUUUAACAUACCUUUCUUGCUUGUAUUCUCAUUCUAUUAUGAAUAUACCUUUCUUGUUCGUAUUCUCAUUAUUUUUUUGCUUGCAAUUGUUUUUAUAAUUAAGUACUGGUUCUUGCAAUUGUUUUCCCAGCAAGAUUGCGGCACUCACAUCUUGAAAUUCAAAUUCCAGAUUUUAAAGAAUUUUCUGAGCUCGAUCGCUAUUAUGGCUUGGUUUGCUGUGACAUCUGCAGUGACAACAAUUGGCAACCUGCUAACUCAGGAAGCCAUAUACCUAUGGGGCGUGGAGGAGCAAGUUGAUCGUCUGCAAACAGAGCUCAAAUGGAUGCAAAGCUCCUUAAUGGUGGCAGAGACAAAACAAUCAACGGAUGAGAGGAUUCGUCUUUGGGUUGCUGAAAUCAGAGAGCUUGCUUAUGAUGCUGAGGAUAUUGUUGAGGAAUUUGCUCUCAAGAUUGGAUCCAAAAACAAAAGUGGCCUUCCGAGUUGUAUUAAAAGAUCAGCCUGCUGUUUGAAAGAGGGAUGGGUGCUCCAUGAAACCAGGUCAAAGAUCGAGAAAAUCAUAGAAAGAAUCAGCGACUUGGUCCGAUGACUACAGGCCUACGGCGUAAAGGAAUUAAAUCCCAGAGGAGAAGGAUCAAGUUUUUCAACUGAAAUACGAGAAUCAAGGCGGCCUUAUCCACAUAUUAUGGAUGAUAAUAUUGUUGGACUAGUUGAUGAUACCAAGGGAUUGGUCGAAGUUCUUACGAAGGAAAGUGGAUGCAAGGUUGUUACAAUAUGGGGCAUGGGUGGUCUGGGAAAGACCACUCUCGCCAAGAAAAUAUAUCACCAUCGUGAGGUUAUUGAUUAUUUCGAUCACUUGGCUUUUGUAUAUGUUUCUCAACCAUGCCGGAAAAGAAAUGUUUGGGAAGACAUUUUAUCUGGUUUCAAAACUUUAGAUAAAGAGGACAGGAAGAUAACAGAUGCAGAAUUAGCAGGGAAGUUGAGUAAAACUUUGAAGGAUAAAAAGUGUCUGGUGAUACUUGAUGAUGUUUGGACCAGUGAAGCUUGGGAUAGUCUAAAACCUGCCUUUCCAGUUGAUAGCAAAAGCAAGAUAUUGCUCACCUCUAGAAACAGGGGGAUAGUUCCAUAUGCUGACAUAAGAGGUAAAAUUUUCUUAAUUAGGUAAAAUUGAAAACUCUUAUUCCGUUUAUGGAAAAUAACAAUGUAUAUUAUUUCAGAGUUGAAGUGCCUAAACGAUCAACAAAGUUGGGAAUUGUUUCAAAAGAUUGUAUUUCCUCAAACAGGUAAAUAUAGAUAUAGCAAAAUUCUUUUUAUAUGCUAAAUUUAUUUUUCAUUUUUAAAUUUUUUUGACAAUAAUUAAAAUUAAAAAUAUAUAAAAUCUAUUUUAUUUAAAAAUUUCAAAACCUUAAUGUGAAAUAAAUAAAAGAAAUCAAGGCUUUGUAGUUUAUCAAUUAAUGGUACACGCACAUAAAUAUAAUUAAUAGGUAAAUUUAUUAUCUUUUAUAUUAUAAUUUUUUAAUAACUUCGCUAUUAUUUACCGGGAAUAAAUUAUAUUAGGAUUAUCUUAAAAAAAAAUAUAGUUUUUAGGCACUAAUAAAAUAGUGUCACAUCGUUAAUUUUUAAGAUAACAAAAAAUUGUUAUACACUCAUUUAUAUUUAAUAUUUUCUCUAACUUAAUUUAAUUUUAAUUAAAUUAUUUAAAAUAAUUAAUUUUUUAAAUUAUAAACAAACAUCUUCUCUUCUUUUACAAAUUUUAAUCAUUUUGUUUUUUUUCAUAAGUUAAUAUUUUUUAUUUUUGUACAACUUAAUAUUUUUUAUUUUUGUACAUCCAAUUUAAAAAAAAUAGUAAUUUUUGUGCAAUAAUUUUCAUGUCAUUGAUACAUAAUUUUGAUAAUUAUUUUAUCAUGAACCCAAAAUCCAGAACCUUGAACUCGAACCCUGAACCUAAACCUUGAAUCCCGAAUCUCGCAGUUCAAGGUUUGGAUUUGAGAUUUAAAGUUCAGAAUUUGAGGUUCAAGUUUAAAGUUUAAGGGUUCAGGGUAAAAAAAUUACCAAAAUUAUGUGUUAAUGACAUGGAAAAAAUUGUUGAAAUGUUAUUAAAUAAUCGAAAAUGGACAAUAAAUAAUGUGAUCAGAAAGGUCCAUAAAAUAAUUUCUCUAUGGAUGAGUGUAUAAUAAUAAUUCAUAUGUUUAAAAUUUGAUGAUGUGACAAAAAAAAUUUAAUUUUUAGGAUGAUCCUAAUGUUACUUUAUUGGACUAUAUGUUUGUUUAGUUAGGUUUUUUACCUAAAUAGGAUAAGAAAAAAAAACUACUGAAAUAGUGUGAUUUUUCAGUACAAUAAUUUUACUCUUUCACACGCUUCCGCGCAACAAUUGGUACCAGAGCCAGGUUCGUACUUGGCGAAUACGAUCGUUUACGAUACUAUUCACGUAUACAACACUAUUUACGUAUACGAUACUAUUCACAUAUACGGCACUAUUCACAUAUACAGUACUGUUCACGUAUACAGUAGUUGGGAUUGAGGAGAAAAAUGGCAGCAGCAUCGUCAUCAGCAAGGACUACUGUGACAAAUGCAAAAUUUGAAGUAGAGAAAUUUGACGGUACCAAUAAUUUUGGUAUGUGGCAAUGUGAGAUCCUGGAUGUCUUAUGUCAACAAGAGCUAGAUAUAGCCCUUGAAGAAAAACCUGACAAGAUGGAUGACAAGGAGUGAGCCAAGAUCAAUAGACAGGCGUGUGGUACAAUCCGCCUAUGUUUGGCCAAAGAGCAGAAGUACUCUGUCAUGAGGGAGACAUCAGCGAAGAAGUUAUGGGAUACACUGUAAGAAAAGUUUCUGACGAAAAGUCUUGAAAAUAGGCUUUAUAUGAAAAAGAAACUUUAUCGAUUCACGUAUGCACCCGGUAUGUCGAUGAAUGACCAUGUGAACUCAUUCAAUAAAAUUUUAGCAGACUUACUAAAUUUGGAUGAGAAAUUUGAAGAUGAAGACAAGGCAUUAUUGUUGUUGAAUUCCCUUCUUGAUGAAUAUGAUCAUCUUACCACCACAUUGCUUCAUGGGAAGGACACGAUCACAUUUGAUGCAGUUUGUAGUGCGUUGUAUAGAUCUGAGACUCGAAAGAAAGAUAAAAGAGAUCACAGAGAUACAACCGCAGAAGUCUUAACAGUAAGAGGUCGUUCACACAGCAGCAAAUCUAGUAGAAGGGGAAAGUCCAAAGGGAGACCCGCCAAAGAUGAAUGUGCCUUUUGCCGUAAAAAAGGGCAUUGGAAAAAGAAUUGUCCUAAGCUACAAAAGGGCAAGGCUAUUUCUAAUGCAUGUGUAGCGGAGCAUGAUGAGGAGUCAGACUUUAGCUUGGUUGGCAUGGCAAUGGCAUGUCAAACGGAUGAGUGGAUUUUGGAUUCAGGAUGUACUUACCAUAUGUGUCCUAAUAAGGACUGGUUUUCUAGUCUUAAAGAGCUAGAAGGUGGAAUUGUUCUUAUGGGCAAUGAUAGUGCUUGUAAGACAAUGGGAGUAGGUACAGUCCAAUUGAAGAAUCACGAAGGCUCAAUCCAAGUCUUGACAGAUGUUCGCUACGUACCUAGCCUGAAGAAAAAUCUCAUCUCAUUAGGUGCCCUAGAAUCUAAAGGGCUCACAAUCACUUUGAGAGAUGGAUUACUAAAAGUAGUAGCUGGGCAACUGACGGUGAUGAAAGGCACAAGAAGAAAUAACUUGUAUUUUUUAAAUGGAAGUACAGUUAUUGGAUCAACAUCAACAGUUUCUACAAAAGAUGUAGAUUCAGAGGCUACCAGAUUAUGGCAUAUGCGAUUGGGACAUGCUGGUGAAAAAGCUUUGCAGACAUUGGUGAAGCAAGGCUUAUUGAAAGGUGCAAAUUCUUGCAAAAUGGAAUUCUGUGAACAUUGUGUUCUGGGCAAGCAGAAGAGGGUAAAAUUUGGUCCAGCAAUUCACAAUACGAAAGGAAUUCUGGACUACGUUCACAGUGAUGUAUGGGGACCUACCAAAGUAGCUUCUUUGGGAGGUAUGCACUAUUUUGUUACUUUUGUUGAUGAUUAUUCAAGAAAAGUAUGGGUGUAUCUAAUGAAAAGAAAAAUUGAAGUUUUGGAUGCAUUUUUGAAAUGGAAGAAGAUGGUGGAGACUCAGACUGGUCGAAAGGUCAAACGACUUCGAUCAGAUAAUGGUACUGAGUACAAAAACGAUCCAUUUCUACAAGUAUGCCAAGAUGAGGGCAUUGUGCGAUACUUCACUGUUCGGGAUACACCACAGCAAAAUGGGGUGGCAGAACGAAUGAAUUGAACUAUACUGGAGAAAGUUCGAUGUAUGUUGUCCAAUGCUGGAUUGGGCAAAGAAUUUUGGGCUGAGGCAGUUACAUAUGGUGCCAUCUAAUUAACCGUUUGCCAUCAGCUGCAAUAAAUGGAAAAACUCCUAUGGAGAUGUGCUACUGAUUAUGAUUCUUUGCAUGUAUUUGGUUCCACUGCAUAUUAUCAUGUAAAAGAAUCUAAGUUAGACCCAAGAGCAAAGAAAGCAUUAUUCUUGGGUAUAACUGAUGGAGUAAAAGGAUAUCGUCUCUGGUGUCUUGAUACAAGGAAGAUUGUUUUCAGUAGAGAUGUGACUUUUGAUGAAUCAACUAUGUUGAAGUACAAGGAUUCACAAAAAGAUGACAAAACCAGUAGUACUUUGCAGCAGGUGGAGCUUGAAAAGGUUAACGAUGAUCCAGCUAAUAUUGAAGGGACAAAUGAUGAAGAGGUUCCUACCCAAGAACCUCUACAGCAACAAGAUUCAAUUGCAUAUAGAAGGCCAAGAAGAGAGAUUCGUAAGCCUGCUCGCUUUGAUGAUAUAGUGGCCUAUGCACUUCCAAUUACAGAUGAUGAUGUUCCUUCUACUUACACAGAAGUAAUAAGUAACCCUGAUGGUGUAAAGUGGAAGCAAGCAAUGAAUGAAGAAAUGCAGUCUCUUCAUAAAAAUAAGACCUGGGAGUUGGUGACACUACCCAAGGGAAAGAAGGCAAUUGGAUGCAAAUGGGUAUAUGCAAAGAAGGAAGGAUUUCCUGAUAAAAAUGAAAUUCGAUACAAGGCUAGAUUAGUAGCAAAGGGUUACGCUCAGAAAGAAGGAAUAGACUACAAUGAAGUGUUUUCUCCAGUUGUGAAGCAUUCGUCUAUUCGGAUUUUGCUAGCCUUGGUUGCGCAAUAUGAUCUUGAACUAGUUCAGCUUGAUGUGAAGACCACGUUUUUACACGGUGAUUUGGAAGAGGAAAUCUAUAUGACUCAGCCAGAUGGAUUCAAGGUUGCUGGAAAAGAAAAUUGGGUUUGCAAACUGACAAAGUCGCUUUAUGGAUUGAAGCAAUCUCCGAGGCAGUGGUACAAGCGAUUUGAUCAGUUCAUGAAAGGGAAAAGGUACGCAAGAAGUAAAUUUUGUUCAUUGCGUGUAUUUUCAGAAGCUACAAGAAGGAACUUUCAUAUACUUGCUCUUAUAUGUUGAUGAUAUGCUAAUAGCAUCUAAGAGCAAAGUUGAGAUUGAAAGAUUGAAGACUCAACUCAAUCUCGAGUUUGAGAUGAAAAAUCUAGGAGAAGCUAAAAAGAUUCUCGGCAUGGAAAUAUGGAGAGAUAGAGCUCAUGAUAGAGUUAGCUUGUCUCAGAAGAAGUAUUUGAAAAAGGUACUACAGCAGUUUGGCAUGAACGAGCAGACAAAACCUGUAAGUACCCCGUUGGCUUCUCAUUUCAAGCUUUCUGCACAACUAUCUCCUUCGACGAAUACGGAACGAGAAUACAUGUUGCAAGUUCCGUAUUCUAAUGCAGUGGGUAGCUUGAUGUAUGCAAUGGUGUGUACAAGACCCGACAUUUCACAGGCAGUUAGUAUAGUGAGCAGGUAUAUGCAUAAUCCUGGAAAAGGACAUUGGCAAGCUGUGAAAUGGAUUCUACGGUAUAUUCAGAAGACCGUGGAUGUUGGAUUACUGUUCAAGCAGGAUAAUACACUUGGUAAAGGUGUUAUUGGGUACGUUGAUUCUGACUAUGCCAGUGAUUUGGACAAGCGAAGAUCAACCACCGGUUAUGUGUUUACACUUGCUGGAGGACCAAUAAGUUGGAAGUCUACACUACAGUUUACAGUUGCAUUGUCAACCACAGAAGCCGAGUACAUGGCUGUAACAGAGGCUGUAAAGGAGGCUGUUUGGUUACAAGGUAUGGCUAAAACCUUGGGGUUGGUUCAGGAGCAUAUUAACGUGUAUUGUGAUAGUCAAAGUGCUAUUCAUUUAGCAAAGAAUCAAGUCUAUCAUGCACGUACAAAACAUAUCGACGUACGAUUCCAUUUUGUGCGGGAAAUUAUUGAAGAGGGGAAAAUUUGUCUUCAGAAGAUCAAGACUGCAGAUAAUCCCGCAGAUAUGAUGACCAAGGUGGUAACAGCAACCAAGUUCGAACAUUGUUUGAACUUGAUUAAUAUCCUGCAAGUUUAACAGUUGAAGAAGGAACUAUCAAGUAUUAUUGUCAAAAGCAGAAAGAAUUGUGUGAAGAUAAGAUUAUCGUAAUCAAAUCUUCAAGGUGGAGAUUAUUGGAACCCACCAUUGUUUGAAAAGUCAAAUGGGGUGGGCACCGAAAGUAGAAAGUAAUAUUGGUUGGCAAGUUGGGUUAAAAGUUGGCAUGGGAUAAUUGCAAUUUUGGUCCCUAAUUGUAUAGGGACAUUGCAAGUUGAUCCUUGAACCUCAACUAUAAAUAGGCCUAACCAUUGCUUACUUUCUUCAUCCCAUGAUUGCCAUUCUCUACUUAAGGCAUUAUUCUCUCUCUCUAUUUGUAAAUUUCACUUGUAAUUUUUGGAGUGAAAUAUAUUUGGUAGUGCCCGAGGACGUAGGCAAAAUUUGCUGAACCUCGUUAAAAUUCUGGUGUUCUUUAUUAUUUGUUUUGCAUAUUUUGUGAAUGUGAUUGUAGUGAUUUAUUGUGCUAUUAAAUUACGAUAGAGGGAUAUUCUGGCUAGGAAAGACUUGGUAUUUAAGUGAUCUUCGUGAUCUACCUCUCUUUCUUGGGAAUUGAACUUAGUGUGAUUUUUCAGUACAAUAAUUUUACUCUUUCACACGUUUCCGCACAACAAUAAUUACAUUUAUUAAAAGUCAAAGGAAGUCAUCUUUUUAGUUUUGCUUUUCAGGUAAAGACGCCAUUUUUUCACCUGCUACUAUAAUGGCGUGUGAAAGUGUGUUAUAUGGUGAGAUUUGGAAUUAUCUUCUCUCUUGUAUAUAUCUAUGGUUGUUGACUGUUUGUUGUUUUCUUCAAAUUACAAUAAAACGGUUGCAAGAUAAGGUAUUGGAAGAAUGGGAGGUGUCUGGAUUAGCAAGGUACCAAACCCCUCCUCCAUUUCUAUUUCCUUCAAUCUAAUUUAAUUACACAUUCAUUUUUGUCUUUUAAAACAUAAAAUUGCAGAUAAGGAGACGACACUGACCUUUGUUCCCACAUACCUUUGGUUUUCGGUGACCAUUCCUAUAUUUAUUUGUUAGCUUUGCUUUCUCUUUCUUUUUUUCCCUUAAGUCUGCUUGAGUCUUUUUCUUUUGUUAUAUGUACUUAAUGUAAUAUUAGAAGCCAAGGCAGGACCAUGCUUUUCUAUUGUAAAAUUCAUCACUUCGUUAUUUUAUAUUUGUAUGUUGACACAUUUCCCGUUUCAACAUAUUUCCUUAUUUUAUGCAAGUCGAUUGGUAUUCAUCAUAAAAAUUACGAUAUCAUAUCGAGUUUAAUGGUUACACUUCCAAAACAAAAAAUAGGAAAAAUUAAAUCUUACCAACUAAUAACACUUUCAAAUUACAUUGUCUUACAAAAAAAAAAAAAGAAGAAGAAGAUACAAUUUGAAUUUUUUUAUCAAAUGGUUUAGCAAGCUAUGCUUUAUAAAAGAGGCAAAGGAAUCCAAGGGAAUCAAAGAUUCCAAAAUCGAUAUUUAGAUUCAAGAUUUUGUAUCUGUUGCGCGGAAGCGUGUGAAAGAGUAAAAUUAUUGUACUGAAAAAUCACACUAAGUUCAAUUCCCAGGAAAGAGAGGUGGAUCACGAGGAUCGCUUACAUACCAGAUCUUUCCUAGCCAGAAUAUCCCUCUAUCGUAAUUUAAUAGCACAAUAAAUCACUACAAUGACACUUGCAAAAUAUGCAGAACAAAAAAUAAAGAACACUAGAAUUUUAACGAGGUUCAGCAAAUUUUGCCUACGUCCUCGGGCACUACCAAAUAUAUUUCACUCCAAAAAUACAAGUGAAAAUUUACAAAUAGGGAGAGAGAACAAUUGCCUUAAGUAGAGAAUGGCAAGUGUGGGAUGAAGAAAGUAAGAAAUGGUUAGGCCUAUUUAUAGUUGAGGUUUAAGGAUCAACUUGCAAUGUCCCUAUACAAUUAGGGACCAAAAUUGCAAUUAUCCCAUGCCAACUUUUAACCCAACUUGCCAACCAAUCUUACUUUCUACUUUCGGUGCCUAACCUUUUUGACUUUUCAAACAAUGUGGGUGGGUUCCAAUAAUCUCCACCUUGAAGAUUUGAUUAGGAUAAUCUUAUCUUCACACAAUUCUUUCUGCCUUUGACAACAAUACUUGAUAGUGCCUUCUUCAACUGUUAAACUUGCAGGAUAUUAAUCAAGUUCAAACAAUGUUUGAACUUGGUUGCUGUUACCACCUUGGUCAUCAUAUCUGCGGGAUUAUCUGCAGUCUUGAUCUUCUGAAGACAAAUUUUCCCCUCUUCAAUAAUUUCCCGCACAAAAUGGAAUCGUACGUCGAUAUGUUUUGUACGUGCAUGAUAGACUUGAUUCUUUGCUAAAUAAAUAGCACUUUGACUAUCACAAUACACGUUAAUAUGCUCCUGAACCAACCCCAAGGUUUUAGCCAUACCUUGUAACCAAAUAGCCUCCUUUACAGCCUCUGUUACAGCCAUGUACUCGGCUUCUGUGGUUGACAAUGCAACUGUAGACUGUAGUGUAGACUUCCAACUUAUUGGUCCUCCAGCAAGUGUAAACACAUAACCGGUGGUUGAUCUUCGCUUGUCCAAAUCACCGGCAUAGUCAGAAUCAACGUACCCAAUAACACCUUUACCAAGUGUAUUAUCCUGCUUGAACAGUAAUCCAACAUCCACGGUCUUCUGAAUAUACCGUAGAAUCCAUUUCACAGCUUGCCAAUGUCCUUUUCCAGGAUUAUGCAUAUACCUGCUCACUAUACUAACUGCCUGUGAAAUGUCGGGUCUUGUACACACCAUUGCAUACAUCAAGCUACCCACUGCAUUAGAAUACGGAACUUGCAACAUGUAUUCUCGUUCCGUAUUCGUCGAAGGAGAUAGUUGUGCAGAAAGCUUGAAAUCAGAAGCCAACAGGGUACUUACAGGUUUUGUCUGCUCGUUCAUGCCAAACUGCUGUAGUACCUUUUUCAAAUACUGCUUCUGAGACAAGCCAACUCUAUCAUGAGCUCUAUCUCUCCCUAUUUCCAUGCCGAGAAUCUUUUUAGCUUCUCCUAGAUCUUUCAUCUCAAACUCGAGAUUGAGUUGAGUCUUCAAUCUUUCAAUCUCAACUUUGCUCUUAGAUGCUAUUAGCAUAUCAUCAACAUAUAAGAGCAAGUAUAUGAAAGUUCCUUCUUGUAGCUUCUGAAAAUACACACAAUGAUCAAAUUUACUUCUUGUGUACCUUUGCCCUUUCAUGAACUGAUCAAAUCACUUGUACCACUGCCUCGGAGAUUGCUUCAAUCCAUAAAGCGACUUUGUCAGUUUGCAAACCCAAUUUUCUUUUCCAGCAACAUUGAAUCCAUCUGGUUGAGUCAUAUAGAUUUCCUCUUCCAAAUCACCGUGUAAAAACGCGAUCUUCACAUCAAGCUGAACUAGUUCAAGAUCAUAUUGCGCAACCAAGGCUAGCAAAAUCUGAAUAGAUGAAUGCUUCACAACUGGAGAAAACACUUCAUUGUAGUCUAUUCCUUCUUUCUGAGCGUAACCCUUUGCUACUAAUCUAGCCUUGUAUCGAAUUUCAUUUUUAUCAGGAAAUCCUUCCUUCUUUGCAUAUACCCAUUUGCAUCCAAUUGCCUUCUUUCCCUUGGGUAGUGUCACCAACUCCCAGGUCUUAUUUUUAUGAAGAGACUGCAUUUCUUCAUUCAUUGCUUGCUUCCACUUUACACCAUCAGGGUUACUUAUUACUUCUGUGUAAGUAGAAGGAACAUCAUCAUCUGUAAUUGGAAGUGCAUAGGCCACUAUAUCAUCAAAGCGAGCAGGCUUACGAAUCUCUCUUCUUGGCCUUCUAUAUGCAAUUGAAUCUUGUUGCUGUAGAGGUUCUUGGGUAGGAACCUCUUCAUCAUUUGUCCCUUCAAUAUUAGCUGGAUCAUCGUUAACCUUUUCAAGCUCCACCUGCUGCAAAGUACUACUGGUUUUGUCAUCCUUUUGUGAAUCCUUGUACUUCAACAUGGUUGAUUCAUCAAAAGUCACAUCUCUACUGAAAACAAUCUUCCUUGUAUCAGGACACCAGAGACGAUAUCCUUUUACUCCAUCAGUUAUACCCAAGAAUAAUGCUUUCUUUGCUCUUGGGUCUAACUUAGAUUCUUUUACAUGAUAAUAUGCAGUGGAACCAAAUACAUGCAAAGAAUCAUAAUCAGUAGCACAUCUCCAUAGGAGUUUUUCCAUUUAUUGCAGCUGAUGGCAAACGGUUAAUUAGAUGUCACGCAUAUGUAACUGCCUCAGCCCAAAAUUCUUUGCCCAAUCCAGCAUUGGACAACAUACAUCAAACUUUCUCCAGUAUAGUUCGAUUCAUUCGUUCUGCCACCCCAUUUUGCUGUGGUGUAUCCCGAACAGUGAAGUGUCGCACAGUGCCCUCAUCUUGGCAUACUUGUAGAAAUGGAUCGUUUUUGUACUCAGUACCAUUAUCUGAUCGAAGUCGUUUGACCUUUCGACCAGUCUGAGUCUCCACCAUCUUCUUCCAUUUCAGAAAUGCAUCCAAAACUUCAAUUUUUCUUUUCAUUAGAUACACCCAUACUUUUCUUGAAUAAUCAUCAACAAAAGUAACAAAAUAGUGCAUACCUCCCAAAGAAGCUACUUUGGUAGGUCCCCACACAUCACUGUGAACGUAGUCCAGAAUUCCUUUCGUAUUGUGAAUUGCUGGACCAAAUUUUACCCUCUUCUGCUUGCCCAGAACACAAUGUUCACAGAAUUCCAUUUUGCAAGAAUUUGCACCUUUCAAUAAGCCUUGCUUCACCAAUGUCUGCAAAGCUUUUUCACCAGCAUGUCCCAAUCGCAUAUGCCAUAAUCUGGUAGCCUCUGAAUCUACAUCUUUUGUAGAAACUGUUGAUGUUGAUCCAAUAACUGUACUUCCAUUUAAAAAAUACAAGUUAUUUCUUCUUGUGCCUUUCAUCACCGUCAGUUGCCCAGCUACUACUUUUAGUAAUCCAUCUCUCAAAGUGAUUGUGAGCCCUUUAGAUUCUAGGGCACCUAAUGAGAUGAGAUUUUCUUCAGGCUAGGUACGUAGCGAACAUCUGUCAAGACUUGGAUUGAGCCGUCGUGAUUCUUCAAUUGGACUGUACCCACUCCCAUUGUCUUACAAGCACUAUCAUUGCCCAUAAGAACAAUUCCACCUUCUAGCUCUUUAAGACUAGAAAACCAGUCCUUAUUAGGACACAUAUGGUAAGUACAUCCUGAAUCCAAAAUCCACUCAUCCGUUUGACAUGCCAUUGCCAUGCCAACCAAGCUAAAGUCUGACUCCUCAUCAUGCUCCGCUACACAUGCAUUAGAAAUAGCCUUGCCCUUUUGUAGCUUAGGACAAUUCUUUUUCCAAUGCACUUUUUCACGGCAAAAGGCACAUUCAUCUUUGGCGGGUCUCCCUUUGGACUUUCCCCUUCUACCAGAUUUGCUGCUGUGUGAACGACCUCUUACUGUUAAGACUUCUGCGGUUGUAUCUCUGUGAUCUCUUUUAUCUUUCUUUCGAGUCUCAGAUCUAUACAACGCACUACAGACUGCAUCAAAUGUGAUCGUGUCCUUCCCAUGAAGCAAUGUGGUGGUAAGAUGAUCAUAUUCAUCAGGAAGGGAAUUCAACAACAAUAAUGCCUUGUCUUCAUCUUCAAAUUUCUCAUCCAAAUUUAGCAAGUCUGCUAAAAUUUUAUUGAAUGAGUUCACAUGGUCAUUCAUCGACAUACCGGGUGCAUACGUGAAUCGAUAAAGUUUCUUUUUCAUAUAAAGCCUAUUUUCAAGACUUUUCGUUAGAAACUUUUCUUCCAGUGUAUCCCAUAACUUCUUCGCUGAUGUCUCCCUCAUGACAGAGUACUUCUGCUCUUUGGCCAAACAUAGGCGGAUUGUACCACACGCCUGUCUAUUGAUCUUGGCCCACUCCUUGUCAUCCAUCUUGUCAGGUUUUUCUUCAAGGGCUAUAUCUAGCUCUUGCUGACAUAAGACAUCCAGGAUCUCACAUUGCCACAUACCAAAAUUAUUGGUACCGUCAAAUUUCUCUACUUCAAAUUUUGCAUUUGUCACAGUAGUCCUUGCUGAUGACGAUGCUGCUGCCAUUUUUCUCCUCAAUCCCAACUACUGUAUACGUGAAUAGUACCGUAUACGUGAAUAGUGCCAUACACGUGAAUAGUACCAUAUACAUAAAUAGUGCCGUAUACGUGAAUAGUACCGUAAACGGUCGUAUUCCCCAAGUACAAACCUGGCUCUGGUACCAAUUGUUGCGCGGAAGCGUGUGAAAGAGUAAAAUUAUUGUACUGAAAAAUCACACUAAGUUCAAUUCCCAGGAAAGAGAGGUGGAUCACGAGGAUCGCUUACAUACCAGAUCUUUCCUAGCUAGAAUAUCCCUCCAUCGUAAUUUAAUAGCACAAUAAAUCACUACAAUGACACUUGCAAAAUAUGCAGAACAAAAAAUAAAGAACACUAGAAUUUUAACGAGGUUCAGCAAAUUUUGCCUACGUCCUCGGGCACUACCAAAUAUAUUUCACUCCAAAAAUACAAGUGAAAGUUUACAAAUAGGGAGAGAGAACAAUUUCCUUAAGUAGUGAAUGGCAAGUGUGGGAUGAAGAAAGUAAGAAAUGGUUAGGCCUAUUUAUAGUUGAGGUUUAAGGAUCAACUUGCAAUGUCCCUAUACAAUUAGGGACCAAAAUUGCAAUUAUCCCAUGCCAACUUUUAACCCAACUUGCCAACCAAUCUUACUUUCUACUUUCGGUGCCCAACCUUUUUGACUUUUCAAACAAUGUGGGUGGGUUCCAAUAGUAUCCCCAUGCUUUGCUUCUUAUAUCUACCAACAAUAUCUUGAUGAUAACAAACUAAAAAAAACUAUUCAAGGGAAUCGAAGAUUUCAAAUCCAACAUAAACGAUUGAAAAUUUCACAUCCACUUAAUUAAUUCAAAUGAUAUUUAUUCAAUAAGUUUAAAUUAAAAACUGCAAGAAUCUUCAUUUAUCUUUUAUUCGAAAUGUAAUUCGGAUUCAAUGAAAAUAUUGAACAUAUAAUGUGUGCACAUGGAAAUGUCCAAAUCUUUAAAUAUAGGGUCGACAUGGGAGAAAUCUCCUAAGACGUUGAAAUUAUUGAGUGCAUUUUCAGAGGAAAAUCCUGAAACAUGUUACAGGCAAAUAUUAAGAAAAACAAUGCACAAGCAUAAGUACAAAAACAUAGCAUGCAAGAAAUCAAUACUUGAAAGGAUUAAAAUCACUGCUAACCUAAGACAUUGAAUCUAGCACCACUAGGAAACAUCCGAAAUGAUACUUGUCUUUCAAUGUUGAGAUACAUAGGUCCAAGUCUGCUAUGUUGCGCCAAACUGGAAUUCAUCAACCUCUUGAGAACCUAAAGGAUGAAAAGUUCCAGUCCAAGUUAUAUAUAUAUAUAUAUAUAUAUAUACACACACACAGAUAGACAUGAAGAAAGUGGGUUAAUGGUGUAUUAUUUAAGUAAAGAAAAAGUUGAAAUCUCGAACCUCUAAAUAUUGGGUAACAGCUAGUGUUAAAAGUGCAUAAAGUUCUGCUAUUAUCUACAAGAAACAAUGGAGGAAUCACAUACAUUGUUUAUAUUCACUUUUCUUGCUACACAAGCAAGCUGAGUCCAUAAACAAAGGCAUACCUUUUCUCCGUUUUUAAAUGGUUUUAUUGUUUCUUGGCUGCUUUUUAUAUUAAGAAGAGAGAUUGUGAGACCUCGUCAUCCUCAAGGAGUAAGUGGUCAAGCAUGAAGAUGAUGGGAAGACCAUGAGUCGAUGGUGGUCAAUCCAUGAGUUGAUUAUGAGUAGUUUCAUGUUAUGAAAUAAAAAUGUUAGCUAAAGUUAGUUGAACGCUGUGUUUUAGGGUUGAGGGUUUAAUGAAACUAUCAGUUUUGAUGUUGAAUGAAAAUGGUGCGUAUUGACGGUUUGUUACAACUGCUCGAGGAACAGCCCUAUAACAGACUUUGUAACUGCCAAUUCUCAGCCAUAAUAGAAACUGGCAUGGGAAAUGGGCAGAUAUGCCAUUUUGUGAAGGAAAUCAAUUCUUUCUUCUUCCACGAUUCUCUUUCUCUUCUCUCUUUUUCUUUCUUCCUCUAUUCUGUUGAAAUUAUGCAUCACUUCACCAGCAUUCAUCAUUGUGGACGUAUCUGAUCUUCAGUCUCUGGUUUACUGCCCAUGUAAAGUUAUGGAAAGGAAUGCAAAUUUAAAAGGUUUUCUUGCUAUUGUCUAUGCAAUUUCAUGUGUGCGUGAAAGGAGAUGAAGAUUAAUAGAGUAAUACUGAUAUACCAACAAUUCAUUAAUUGAAGUACUAUCAAUAUUAUCAACAAGUAACAGGAUUAAGUGAGUAUACUAAUAUAGUCUAGAAAAACAAUUUAAUUAAUAAUACCAUAGGGAUGGCAAGAGGGUGAAGUUGCUAUUGCUAUUUAUAUCUCAGCUGCUAGCUUUUGACGACUUCACCAAGUAAACUGCAAUUACAAGUGUUGUUCUUAUUACCUGCAAAAACACAGCCAACAAUCUGAAUCCAUAUCCCCAUUUUAGGAACAAAUGCAUGGUGUACCAUUUGUUUCGAAGCCAAAUCAAUUUUCUUAAUUUUUCUUGAAGUAAAACCUUAUCUGACACUUAUAUUCAACACAUAUUCAUGUAUUGGUGUGAAGAUAUGACACUCUUAUCCUAUACUCAUAUCCGUGCUCAGGUAACAUAAGCUGAACCCGCAAGAUAACUGAUUUAACAUUGCAUUGCUGCUAGCUAUUGAUGAUUUCACCAAGUAAACUGCAACCACAAGUGUUGUUCUUAUUCCUUGCAAAAACACAGUCAACAAUCUGAAUCCACAUUCCCAUUUUCGGAACAAAACCAUGCCGUACCAUUUGUUUCAAAGCCCAAUCAACUUCCUUUACCAUCUUCCCCUUACAAAAACCAUGAAUCAACUUCUUGUAUGAAUCAAAACUAGGAUUAACCCUCUCGAAAGCCACAUUUGUUAGUAUGACUAUUUUGGGUAACCAAAGGAAAAAAAAAAUGUUAGCUGUUGAGCAAACAAGGUGAACAAAUUAGAUAUUCCAAUUACGUUCAAGCACUUGACAAAUCCUUUCUGCAAUGGCUUCAGCACACAUCCUAGGACCUUCAUCAUCUGCAAAAACCGACCAUUUCUAACAACUAAGCUAACAUCACACAUGAUAAUAUAUGUAUAUAACAUAUAUAGAAGAUGAGUAUGUGGAUUAAAAGCUAUGUUAGUUUGACUCAAUACAUGACCAUGGGACAUGCACGAUUCUUCAAUAAUGAUACGAAAAUAAUUGGAAGAAAAAUUAAAUACAUCAAUAUCUAACAUUUACAUCUGAGUAUGUUUAAUGGUACUCUUUCUUUAGCCAAAAUUUGGCUUCUUUUAGUAGCUAUUCUGACCCAUUUUUCUUUGACCAAAAUGCCCUUGAACAUGUCUUUUUAUUGGGGUUUUAGUUGGACAAGGAGUACCCCUGAUGUCAUUUUUGGUCCCCUCACGACAAUAUUGCAAUAACCAACACAGGGUAUCGUGAUAUCGUGGACUGUCUCAAAUGAGGGUCUUCCUUGGUAGCUGGGUAUCACGAUACCUAAGGGGAUAUCAUGAUACCACUAUAGGUGGUCUUCAUUUCAAGCUUGUGGGAGGUAUCGCUAUGUCCAUGUUGUGAUGUCGUGAUACCCCUUUCCUUAUGUUUUUGCACAAUUUCGGGUCACCGUCAAGUUCCUACAACACUUAAUUGAUCGUUAGGGUCCAAAUGGCACAUUUAUCAAUUUGAGUCUCAAAAUGAGCACAAAACACAUUAAACAUUUAUUAAAUCAAAAAUAAAAAUCUACGCUAAACUACGGAAACACACUAAUUUGCUUGAAAACAAGCUCUUUAAGUAUAAUGAGGAACCCUAAAUUGACAUAUCAAAUUACUGUAACUCAGUUGUCUUUUUGAUUCGAACCCACAACCUAAGUUGUUGAGUUGAUCACCCAAUGUCACUAGGCGAAGAGUUUGGGUUCUAUGUACUAACUUGAAGUUGAGGCAUAUUAUAAAGAAGAUUUCAAUUUGACAUGUUUAAUUUUUUUAAUUUAAAUCGAAUAAAUUUAUUUAACUCGACUUAAAUUUUAUUUUACUCAACUUGAUUAAAAAAAUUUCAAAUCAAGUUAAGAUGAUAAAAUAGGAUUCAUGAACUUGAUGUAGUCGAAUUUUUUUUUACUAGAUUCGAUCAAACGCUCAACCCGUUAGGUGAGAUGAUGUUUAGGGAUUUGAUUUGUAAAAUCAUUUUUUUCUCAAUCAUUCCUCAUAAUAUAGAAAAUAAUAAGUUAAGUUAUGCCAUUAGUCCUUGUACUUUACAAAAAGUUGUGGAUAUAAUCUAUAUACUUUAGUUUGGUCAUUUUUAAUAAAUGUACUUUUCAAAUUUGAAAAUUUCAAUCCUCACCAAACGAUAACUGUUAAAUUCAUUAAGUUAAGCUUUGUUAUUUUCAAAAUAUUACAUGACAAACAAAUUAUUAUAUGUGUAAUGCCAUGUCAACUUGUUAUUUUGACAUAUUACUCACCAAAAUUUCACUUAAUGGAUUAACGACUUUCAUUCAUGUGGAGACUAAAAUUUCAAAAUUCAAAAGUAGAGGGACUUAAAAUGAUCUAAUUGGAGAAAAUAGACUAAAUCUAUAACUAUACUCAUAGUAUAAGACUAGUAAUUGAAUUUAUCCAAAUAAAUUUAAUUGCUACAGUUUGGGUUAAAACUAAAAUUUCAAAAUUAAAAAAAAAUACAGAAAUUGAAGUUGAUAAAUUCAAAAAAAUAUACAUAUUAAAAUUGAUCAAAUUAAAAGUAAACUGACUAACCUUAAUUUUUCUGAUAAUCUUUCUUUUCCCUUAAUUAAAUGACCAUGAUGUAUACUAUAUAUCUUAGUAUAUAAAUAUUUUAAAAAUAAAUAAAUAUAUGUAUGUUGGACACAUAUUCAAGUUUGAUAUUCGUCUUAAAUAUAUGUAUGUUGGACACGUAAUCUUUUUCAUUGUUUAAUAUCCUAAUCCUUAAUUAAUUUAAUAAUAUUUGUUACGAUAGGGUCUAAUGGCUGCAAUUUAUCUUGACACUUUCGAAGCAAAAAAUAAAAAAUAAAAAAAUCAAAUUUCACCGAUUAAUUACAUGCCAACACAUAUAACCCACGAUAUGUUUAUCUCAAAGAUUUAAAUAAGAUAAACUAAAUCACAAAGAAAACAAACGAGUAAACAUAAUCUAGAAAUUCCAAAUUUACAUUAUCUAACAGAAAUUCAAUAAGAAAUAAAAGGUUGCAUUUCAUUCUUUAGGGAUUUGCUCUUAUAUCUUCCAACAAUAGCUUGAUGAUAAUAAGCUGAAAAAGAAAAGGAGUCCAAGGGAAUUGAAGAUUCUUAAUUCAGCUAGCUUAAUUGAUUGAAUACUUCAAAUACACUUAAUUAAUACCAAUGAUAUUUAUCAAUAAAUCUAAAAUUUGCAUCCUACUUUGUAAAAACUGCCAGAAUGAAAUCAAAUUAUCUGAUUUCAAUUCUCUUCAAAUUUUAGUUUACAACUUCUAUUUUUGGGUUUCCAUUUGUUUCAACUUUUAAAGCAAGCAUUGAUUCAAGAAAUAUUUAUUUCAUUUGACUUAUUUGCUUUUCUAAUUUUAUGUUAUUCAGAUUCGAUGAAAAUAUUGAACAUAAUAUGUGUGCAAGUCAAGAUGUCCGAGUCUUACAAUGUAAGGUUGAAACGGGAGAAAUAUCCUAAAAGCUGAUGCUAAAAGAUUUAUAAAAUUCAGUAUAAUCAUUUUGUUUUCAUUAUAAAACUCAAUGUUAAAAUGUCUAUGAUUCGAGAUUAUGAUACAAGAGAAAAAUAGCUAACUAUUUUAAGUUCAAGGUGUGAGAAAAUCUCAAUAGCUAAGAUAUGAAUGUUGUAAAAUACCACUCAAUCACACAGAAAUAUAUACACACAGAAAGACCACUCAAUCACAGCCACAUUUGUUAGUAUGACUACUUUGGAUGAAAAGUUCUAUUCCAAGUUAUAUAUACACACAGAAAUACACAUGAAGUGGAUUAAUGGUGUAUUAUUUAAGUCAAGAAAAAGGGUUCUAACUAAAAGAAAGAGUUGAAAUCUUGAACCUCUAAAUAUUGGGUAACCACUGGUGUUAAAAAGUGCAUAAAGGUCCGCGCUUAUCUACAAAAAAACAAUGGAGGAAUCACGUUCAUUGUUUAUAUUCAUUUUUUUUUUGCUCCACAAGCAAUCCAAAACCAUAAACAAAGGAAUACUUUUUUUCGCCUUUUUAAAUGGUUUUCUUGUUUCUUUUUCGCUUUUUAAAUUCUUCAUUCAAUUCAAGUUCAAGAAACCAUACUAAAUAUAUAUAUUUAUAUUUAUAUUCACUUUUCUUGCUACACAAGCAAGCCAAAAUCAUAAAUAAAGGCACGCUUUUUUUUCCCUUUUUUUAAUGAUUUUCUUGAUUCUUUGUUGUUUUUAAAAUUCUUCAUUCAAUUUAAGUUCAAUAAACCAUAUUAAAUAUAUAUAUUUAUAUUCACUUUUUUUUUGCUACACAAGCAAGCUGAAACCAUAAACAAAGGCAUACAUUUUUCUCCUUUUUUAAAUGGCUUUCUUGUUUCUUUGUUGUUGUUUUUUAAUUCUUUGCUCAAUUCAAGUUCAAGAACCCAUACUAAAUAUAUGUGUUUAUAUUCACUUUUCUUGCUACAUAAGUAAGCUGAAACCAUAAACAAAGGCAUACUUGUUUUCCUUUCUUACCGUGGCUACCUUUUAGAUUCUUUAUUCAAUUCAAGUUCAAGAAAUCAUACUAUAUAUAUAUAUUCACUUUUCUUGCUACACAAGUCAACCGAAACCAUAAACAAAGGCAUAACUUUUUCGCUUUUUUUAAAAUGAAUUUUUCUUUGCUGCUUUUUAAAAUUUUUAUUCAAUUUAAAUUCAAAAAACCCUACUAAAUAUAAAUAUAUAUAUAUAUAUUAAGAGAGAGACCUCAUCAUCCUCAAGCUUGAUGGGAAGGCCACAAGUCGGUGGUGGUCAAAUCAUGAGUUGAUUAUGAGUAGUUUCAUGUUAUGGAAAAAAGAUGUUAGUUAAAAUUAGUUAGUUGAGAGUUUAAUGAAACGAUACGUUUUGAUGUUUAAUGAAAACGGUGCGUAUUGAAAGUUUGAUACAACUACUCAAGUAACAAGCCUAUAAUAAACUUUGUAACUACCAAUUCUGAAGCAUUACAGGAACUGCCAACUUUUAAUUUUAUUUGUAAUCCUGGCUUUAAAAAAAAUAUUCCAAAUAUGCUUCCUCUCCCUAUCAUUUUUGUUAUUUUUCAAGUGCCCUUACCAUAAUAUUUUUUAAUGGGUAAAUUAUAAAAAUAGUCACUUAAUUAUUGCUUUCAUUCUAUUUUAAUCACUAAAUCGAUUUAGUUAUUAAAAUUUUCGAAAUUAAAUAUUUUAAUCACUCUCAGUUUUCGUUAGAUGAGUGAUAGGAAGUUAAUGUGAGCUGUUUUUAUUGGUCUAAUAACAAAUUUAAUCAUCUAAUGUUUACACAUUCUAUUAAUUUAAUUUUAAAUAUAAAAUGUUCAACAGAUUUAACCCUAAAUAUUUACAAAAUCUAUUGUUAUAGUUCGAAUCCUAAAAAUUUCAAUAAGUUUAGUCCUCAAAAUUUGUAAAUUUAAUUUUAAUUCCAAAAAUUUUAGAAAAAGGAAAGAUGUAUUUUAUGUCAUAUAAAAGAAAAUCUAGCUCCAUCCAACAUUUUAAAUUCUUUUCUUUUCUCUUCACAUUUUCAUGGCAACGAAAAAACCAAGUCAUGGAUGAAUUAAGCAAAUUAAUUAAAAUCAAAUAAAUCGAACAAGGAUUUUAAUUAAAAAGAAAUUCUUCACAUGCAUCAAGGAGGGACUUCCUCUGGUGGUAUCAAGGGGAUUGAUAGAAACAGCUCAGGCUCGAACAAGAACUUCAUUGGGCUUAAGAUCAGGAACAGACACAUCGGACCAAAGCUGCAACACCUCAGGUCCUCCGAACCGAGGCAGCAAUACCGCACUGUAACUGUUGACAUAGCACCGAAUUGAACCCACUUUCAACUAUAACUCCAUAAAGGGUUUAGGUUUUAAGCUUUGAAGUUCCCUUUUUUCUACUCAAAUUUACUGAAUUUCAGCUCCUUCCUUUUGUUAAAUGAAGGAAAAGCAGAGGAGAGACACGGAAGUGUUUUAAUCCACAUAGAAAAAAGUGAUUGUGUGACUUGUGAGUGGGCGCCUAUGGGGCGUGGAAGAAGAAGAUGAACAUUGCAUAAUCAAUUUUUAAUUGCUUAUUACAUUCAUAAUUUAAUAAAUAAAAAUUUCUAACCUUAUCUAUUAAAUCAAGUUAGAAUGUUCAACUUAAUUUUUGUUUGUUAUAAGUAUCACAUAUUAUAAAAAUUAAUUAUAUUUUAAUAAUUAUAUAAUAUUGAUUGAGUUAUUAUUUUUAAUUAUAUCAUCUGAUACCAUCUUGAGGACUAAAUUUAGAAUUAGAACUAAAUUGACAAAUUUCAGAAAUUUUGAGAUUAAAUUUAUUUUUAUUUUUAAGAAUUUGAACUAAAAUGAGAAAUUUUGUAAAUAUUGAGGAUUAAAUUUGUUGGAAAUUUUAUAUUUAGAAUCAAAUGGAUAGAAUGUCUAAACAUUAGGGGCCUAAAUUUGUUAUUAGACCAAUAAAAACAAGUUCAUACCAAUUUCCUGUAGCUCAUUUGCAACUAACGAGGAAAUGAUUAAAAUAUUUAAUUUCUAAAAAUUUAAUGACUAAAUAAAAAAAUUAAUAUUUAAGUAAUCAAAAUAGAAUGAAAUCAAUAAUUUGAUGACCAUUUUUGUACUGUACCCUAUCUUAAUCCAUCUCACAACCAAAUUUCUCCGUCUUUGCCUAAUUCCUUUGUCUUUGUCAAAUUUUAAUAAAAUUAACAUUUUUAUUUAAAAAAUAUCUUUAAUAGUUUAAUAUAUUUUUAAUAAGUAAAUGUUAAUUUCGUUAAGGGUCAGUUUGUUUACAUGUAAAAAGUUAAAAAUAAAAAUAUUGAGUUAUAUAAUAUGAGUCUAUUGAACCGAUUCAAUCAUAAAUUUUAUUAUUAUUGGUUUACAUAAUGGUUUGAUUUUGAAAAUAUUUGGUUUAACAUUUAGUCAUCCCUUUGAUCAAUUUUAAAUUUUAGAAAUAAUUUUGUUUUUUGUUUACAUUUAAAUGUACAGUUUCUAAUGCAUAUGUGUUACAUUUGAUUUCAAGACUUUAAUUCUUAAUUACUUUUUAAAAUAAUAGUUUCUUUUAGUUUUUAAAUAAUCUAUAAAUUUAUAAUUACAUAAGAAAAUAAACUAUAAUAUUAAUUUUUUAAAAAUUAAGUAAAACAACAUGCAAUAAUUUUUAUAAUAAUUAAGGAUAAAUAUGAAAAAUAUUCACAAUUAUAAAACAAAUGAAAUUAUAUAUACAAAUUUAUAAGUGAAAAAUAUACAUAAUUAUAUUCAUAAAAAAUACAAACAAGGUUAUAAAGUAAUUCAUAGGAAUAUAGCUUUCUUGUUUCUAUUCUCAUUCGAUUAUGAAUAUACCUUUCUUGUUAGUAUUCUCAUUCUAUUUUGAACAUACCUUUCUUGCUUGUAUUCUCAUUCUAUUGAUGAUUAAUGCUGCUUUCUAAUUUUUUAUAAAUUUAAUAGAACUAUUACUACCAGCACAAACUAUUAAGGUGUCAAAUGUCCCAUCACAAUUUAACUUUAACCCAACCUUCUGGUGGUUUCUCCCAAAUAUCAGCACAAGUAUUUGACUUCCUAGUUCGAUCAGAGUUAUUGUUUGAACAGAGGAUCCAUUGAGCAGAUAAGAAUUCAUUCAUGGAGAAAUUAAUCCUUCGAAUAAUUCUCUCCAAACCAAGUUUCACACCUCCAAUUGUAAGCUCACACCUAGCUUUGCAGAUGGGCUAGCAAGUGAAAACAAUUCUAACUUUGAAAUCCUCCCUCAUACAAGGCAUUUGUAACAACUUUGAGAACCAUCUGUCAAAGAUCAUUUAGCCCUUGAAGACCAAAACAAGCCUCAUACUAUAUUCCCCUAACCCAAUUACAACUAAGAAUAAUAUGUUCAAAGUCUCAUCUUCAAUACCACAUAAACAACAAAAUUGGGUUCGAAACACACUUUCUUUUCCACGGAUUAAAACGAGAUGGAAUGGCAUUAUGACACAAUUUCCAUAAGAAAAUUUUAACUUUCUUCGGUACCUGUAAGCUCCAAAUAGCUUUCCAAGUGAGAGCUGGAAGGUUGUAAAGAAGACUCAUUUCCAUAGUGCUUUCUCAACUCCUUGUACCCUGACUUCAUAGGAUAUUGACCAACAGCUGUAAACGGCCACACCAAUUUAUCUUGUUCAUCUGUUUCAUGAAGAGGAACUUUAAAUUUCGUAAUUUCAAUAUCUUCUAACCAUAUUGAGAUACUGGGUAAGUCCCAAUUUAGUUCUUCUAAACAAAUGAUCUCAGCAACUCUUGUUGGCGAGGAUCCGUUAAUAUUUCCAGGAUGCUUUAAUUUCCUAUCUUUUAACUCCCAGCAACCAUCUAUCUUCCCAAAUGCGGAUGCUUUCGCCAUUUAGCACUUGCCAAAUCAAAGUCUCCUUUCAAAAACUCUUUCCCUUCAAGAAUGCUACUCCACACCCAUGAUGACCUAGCUCCCUUUUUAGCUUCAAGGAAAUUAGAAUUCGGGAAAUAAAGUCCUUUUAAAAUCCUAGCCCAAAGAGCAUCAGCAUCCUGGACUAACUGUCAAGAUUGUUUUGCAAGUAGAGCAAGUCCUCCAAGCUUUUCAAUGAAUACGUCUCUCAUUUUCCUUCUGCUGAAUUCAUUUCCACGAAUAAGUUUUUAGGAAAUUCGAAAAGAUAUCGUAUACAUUGAAGCGCAUGCUACUGCUUUAAUAAGAACCUCCCUUCCCCCUCAAGAUAAUGUUUGCUGCUUCCAGCCCUUAAGUUUGGUAAGGAACUUAUCUUUUUCUUUAUUUUUUUUUUGGUGAAAGUAAGGACCUUAUCUUUGAUACGCCUCAAAGUUAAUGUUUUCGAAAGCCCCCACAAAGAAGGGAAACCCAAGUAGACGUCCGAAUUAUUUGCCACCUCUAUGUUAGUCUCUUCUUGAAUCAACCUUUCGUUGUCCCUUCGGGAGUAUUCACACUAAAAUCGUUGCUUCAUUUAUCAUAAUUGACCCUUCGUCUAGAAGCUGCACAAUAUUCUUGAAUCAAGUUAAUCAUUCUCCUGCAAUUUAACGAACUCGCUUCCAAAAAGAAUAGAAAUCGUUCGUGAAUAACAAAUGUGACACUACUGGAUAAUGACUACUAAGGCUAAUCCCAGAAAUAAAACUAGACUCGACUCUAUUAAUAAUCAUUACCCCUAGAACUCCUUUCAAUAUAUUCACCAUGAUCUUCGAUAUGAUUUAAUACUUAAAAUUACACAGACUAAUUGACCUAAAUUAUGUCAUUAAUUCAAAACAUUUAGUUUUCAGAAUUAAAAUUAUCUCAAUCUCAUUUGAAAAUUUCCCUUCCCUAAAAAAAAAAACUCUUAAUAGCUUCCAAAACAUCCUUUUUAAUAAUUUCCCAAUAAUUAUGAUAGAAAAUCCUAUUAAAAUCAUCCACGAAAAAAGAGAUUAAUUUAAUUGUUUUGUAUGCUUAACUUGUACAAUAUAAGUAAAAUCUUAUAAUUUUAUCUCCAAAUUCUCUCAACAAAUCUUUCUGACCCUUAUUUAUAAUCUCAUUUGUAUCUAACAGGAUAUCCAAUUUAAAAUCAAAUAAUCUUUUUUAUAUAAUUCUUUAAAUAUUAAAAGUAUUUUCCUCUAUUAUUUUUUGUUGUUGGAGUAUUAAAUAUUAGCCUUAAAACCAUAAGGCAUGAACUAUUCCAAACAACCCUUAAAAAGAUAUGUAAAUUUUGUGUUUGAAUAUCAUUUUUACUUUUUUAGAUUUCAAAUUGGAUAGUGAAUUAUAUAUUUAUUUAUUUGAAACUCCUCUUAAAUUAAUGAGAGUGAAGUUUCUUAUUUAGUAUUGAUUGUUCUAUAAAGUAUUCAAAUUUUUCAAAUAGAUUUAUUUUUUCAAGUGUAGUUAAUAACCGCAAUAAAAACUAAAUUUUAUAAGUGAUGAUUUUAUAUUAAAAAUUGUUUGAUAAAUUCAUAAAAUAUAAGUUUGGGUUCAUCUACUUUUACAUUUCUUUUACCUAUUUAAAUUAUUUCUUAAUCUUCCUUAUUUUUUAAAAAUUUAUUCUUAAUUUUUUAUACAGGAAAUAUAAUCGACGUCGUGGAAAUGAAAAAUUUAGGAGAGAACAUGGUUAAACAUUGUGCAAGGCUUCCAUUAGCCAUUGUUGUAUUGGGAGGACUUUUGGCUACAAAGAAUAAUUCAUUAAACGAAUGGCGAAAGAUAUCUGACAAUGUAAAAUCAUACUUGAAGAAAGGCAAAAAUCAAAGACCAGAGGAUGUGUUAGCAUUAAGUUAUGAUGAUUUGUGUUGGUGCAAGAACAGAAUCAAGCAGACUCAGCAAGUAUCUUGUCGAGCAAGCCUUAAAACUUGCUGAGCAAACAAACAAUUUCGAGUUAAAGAAAGAAGAGAAUAAGCUGGGAAAAUUUGAGAGAAUAUUGAUGAACAAAAGCUGAUUUCCAUUCAUACAUUGAACAAUGGCAUAAUGCCAAUACAUAAACCAAGCAAUUUGCUUGUCAAAAUCUGCAUAAUGAUACCUAAUCAUCACCUACUACCACUAAUACAUUGAAACUUGAAAAACUAAGCUUGCACACUUAAACAAAGCUGACUUAACAGCUUAAUUGUCAUCAAAAUACAUCAAUCAUAAACCUAACAUAGUUCUAAAUGAACUAAAGUACAUUACAUUAACUUAAGAUUACAAGUUGAUCAAAAUAGGAAUAGUUCAGCUCGUUCCAGCAGCUCCUGCAUGACUUGGUCUUGAUGGCCUGCAUGCUGUCGAGUUUGCUGCAUGCUGAACCAACUUCAUCACUCCUCCUUGGUUUGCAUGGAGCAAACACCUAGCAUCUUUCUUAGAUAUUCAAACCUUGUGACACUAAGAGCUUUGGUUAAAAUGUCAGCAAGUUGAUCCUCUGAAUUACAGUGGAUCAGCUUUACUUCCUGAGCUUGCUCCAUUUCUCGAACAACAUGCAACUUGAUGCUGAAAUGUUUUGUUCUUCCAUGGAACACUGGAUUUUUAGCAAUUGCUACUGCAGAUUGAUUGUCACAGAAGAUCUCUGUUGCUUCCAUUUGAUCCAUAUUCAAAUCAGCCAGGAUUUUCCUAAGCCAAAUGGCUUGGUUGACAGCACUUGCUGCUGCCACAUACUCUGCUUCAGCCGUAGAUUGUGCCACCAGACUUUGCUUCUUCGAGCUCCAGCAGAACAUGGCUGAACCAAGUCUAAAAGCAUACCCUGAGGUGCUUUUCAUGUCAUCUAUCGAUCCAGCCCAGUCACUAUCAGUGUACCCAACUAGAUUUAGAUUUCCUUUUCUGCUGUACCUUAAGCCAUAGUCCAAAGUGCCUUUGACAUAUCUGAGCACUCUCUUGGCAGCCUGGAAAUGCUUCUCAUUGCAACAAUGCAAGAACCUUGAGAGCAAUCCUACAGCAUACAUUAUGUCUGGUCUAGUGGCAGUCAAGUAUAGCAAACAACCAACUAGACUCCUGUAGGUAGUUUCACAUACCUUCUCAAAAUCUCCUUGGCUCGAUAGUUUUUCUCCAACAGCUACAGGUGUUUUAGUUGGUUUGCUGUUUUGCAUGGAGAACUUGGUCAGAAUCUUUGUGGCAAAGCUCUUCUGACUUAAAAAUAUCCCAUUCUGUGCUUGAGUCACCUCCAUUCCAAGAAAAUAGGACAUCUCCCCAAGAUCAGACAUUUCAAACACCUCUUGCAUCUUGGUCUUGAAAUUAACCAGCACUGCUUGAUCUCCUCCUGUCACCAGCAGGUCAUCAACAUAUAGGGACACAAUGAGUUGUGUUUGUGUCCCUUGCUUCUUGACAUACAGUGUUGGCUCACUCUUGCUUCGAUUGAAUCCCAGAUCAGUCAAGUAGCCAUCGAUUCUGCUGUACCAGGCCCUUGGAGCCUGUUUUAAGCCAUAUAGGGCCUUCUUCAAUUUGUAGACCAUAUGCUCUCUGCCAGCUAUUUCAAACCCUUGUGGUUGUUCAACAUAGAUGUCUUCAUCUAAGAAACCAUUCAGAAAGGCUGAUUUCACAUCAAGUUGAUGAAUCUUCCAUUCGAGCUGUGCUGCUAAGGCAAUCAGCAGUCUGAUGGUGUCGAGCCUGGCCACUGGUGCAAAGGUCUCCAAGUAGUCCAAGCCAUACCUCUGACUGAACCCCUUGACCACUAGCCUUGCUUUUAACUUGUUCAAGGUACCAUCAGCAUUCUGCUUGGCUUUGUACACCCAUUUCACCCCAAUCACCUUCCUUUUGACUGGCCUUUCAACCAAUUCCCAGGUCUGGUUCUUCUCAAUCAUGCUGAUCUCCUCAGCCAUUGCCUGCUUCCACCCUUGUUGAGCCUCAGCCUCUUCAAAGUUGCUUGGUUCAGCUAUGGCUACAUGAGCCCUUUCAUAAACCUCAGCCAAUGACCUUGUUCCUCUGACUGGUUCAUCAUCAAUAUCCAUUUCAGGGACAUUUUGGUCUGGCUCAGCUUGGUCUACUGCAAGUUCUUCAGAAACUUCUUCAGGUUCAUGUCUUUCCCAGUUCCAACAUGACCUCUCAUCAAAUACCACAUCCCUGCUUAUUGAUACUUUGUUUGUUGAAGGAUCUAAAAUCCUAUAGCCCUUCUUAACAGUGCUAUACCCCACCAAAACACCAGGUCGAGCCCUUUCAGACAAUUUGUCCCUUUUAACAGCAGGUACAUGUGCAUAACAGAUGCAUCCAAAGACCUUCAGAUGAGCCAAUGAUGGCUUGAAGCUAAACCAGGCCUCGAAUGGGGUCUUUUGAUCCAAAGCCUUGGUUGGAAGUCUAUUUUGAAUGUAUGUUGCAGUGUUAACUGCUUCUGCCCAUAGUGCUUUAGGCAGAUUUUUCUGAAUCAUCAAGCACCUGGCCAUAUCCAUCAAACUCCUAUUCUUCCUUUCACUUACCCCAUUCUGCUGAGGUGUAUAUGUGUUGGUAAGUUGAUGUUUGAUGCCUGCCUUAUCACAGAAGGCUUGGAACUGAGCUGAGGUGUACUCAGUCCCAUUAUCAGACCUUAUGGUCUUCAGCUUGCAGCCUGUUUCAGUCUCAGAAGCAGUCUUGAACUUCCAAAACACUGAGGCCACUUCAGAUUUCUGUUUUAAAAAGUAAAUCCAGCAAUAUCUCGAGAAAUCAUCAAUGAACAGUAUGAAAUACCUGUUUCCACUUAAUGACUCAGUCUUCAUAGGGCCACACACAUCAGUAUGCACCAGUUGGAGUUUUUCAGAGGCUCUCCAGGCUUGAUUCGAGGGAAAUGGGAGUCUGGCCUGCUUUCCUAGCUGACAUACAUCACAUACAUCAUCAUGGUCAACUGAGUUGAUGAAAUUUUCAGCCAGGUCCUCUCUGACCAUUCGAGCCAUCGAUCUGAAGUUGGCAUGUCCCAAUCUUUGAUGCCACAGCUUGGAUUCAUCUGAAGUGGCUGUGUAGGCAAUGUCUGACUUUUUUGUCCAGUCAACCACAAAGCUCUUAUCAGCCAUAGGGACUGCCAUCAGUUUGGAUCCACUUGGAUCACUGAUUUGGCAAUGGUGGUCUUUAAACACAACUGAAUAACCUUUUUCCAGCAACUGAGCUAUGCUGAGCAGGUUUCUGUCAAUUUCAGGUACCAACAGCACAUUUGAAAUCACUUUGGUACCUGUAAGGGUGCAUAUCAGCACAUCACCCUUGCCUUCAGCUUGAAUAAAAUGACCAUUUCCUAUCUUGACUUUAGUUCUGCAGCUUCUGUCUAAAGACUUGAAGAUUGCAGCAUCAGGUGUCAUGUGGUUGGUGCAUCCACUGUCUAGAAGCCAACCAGAUGAGGACUUUUCCUGAGCAGCUGAGCAUGACACAGCAAAGACUUGCUCCUCUUGGUCACUGUCCUCCUUAGCUACUCGAGCCUCAGCUUUCAUCUGUUGAAACUGAUUCUGCCUCGAUUUGGUCUUACUCUUGCAGACUCUCUCAACAUGACCCUUCUUCUUACAAUGCUGACACACAGCAUCUGGAUUGAACCAGCAUUUUUCUUCUGAAUGACCAGCCUUUCUACAGUGCUUGCAAGUCUGACCUUCUCUCCUUGCAGCAUCAUUCUUUGGCUUGUCUCUCCAGGCCUUCUUGCCUUUGUAGGCAGUAUUUGUUCUUGCCUGAAAGGCACCUUCUUGGUGCUCCUCCAGUCUGCUUGCUCUCCUCUGCUCUUGAGCAUAUAGAGCAUUGAUCAACUCUGUCAGGGAGAUGGUGGACAGAUCCCUUGAGUCCUCGAGAGAUGAGAUUUUUGCCUCAUACCUCUCAGGCAGAGUUGCUAUAACCUUCUCCACUAUCCUAGCUUCAUUGAACUGCUCUCCAAGGAGCCUGAUGCUGUUAACCACAGCCAUAAUCCUGUCAGAAUAUUGCUUGACAGUUUCUUCUUCCUUCAUCUUCAAAUUCUCGAAAUCUCUCCUCAAAUUUAACAACUGUUGCUGCCUUGUCCUCUCAGUCCCUUGAAACUCUUCCUGCAACUUAUCCCAGGCCUGUUUUGGUGAUUCACAGGCCAUAAUCCUUGUGAAAAUCACAUCAGACACUGAGUUUUGGAUGCAAGACAUAGCUUUGUGCCUCUUGGUCCUUUCAUCAGCAUGCUGCCUGAUCUGAGCCACUGUUGGAUUAGCUCUAAGUGGCUCUGGUUCAACAUCAAAGUUGACCACCUCCCACAGAUCGAAAGCCUGCAGGUAGGUCUUCAUUUUGACCACCCAUAUGUGAUAGCCUUCUCCAUUGAAGACUUGAGGUGCAGCUGGUGAAAAGCUUGAUGAAGCCAUGGAAAUUGAGUAACAGAUCCCUUAAGAAAUAGGCUCUAGAUACCAAUUGUUGGUGCAAGAACAGAAUCAAGCAGACUCAGCAAGUAUCUUGUCGAGCAAGCCUUAAAACUUGCUGAGCAAACAAACAAUUUCGAGUUAAAGAAAGAAGAGAAUAAGCUGGGAAAAUUUGAGAGAAUAUUGAUGAACAAAAGCUGAUUUCCAUUCAUACAUUGAACAAUGGCAUAAUGCCAAUACAUAAACCAAGCAAUUUGCUUGUCAAAAUCUGCAUAAUGAUACCUAAUCAUCACCUACUACCACUAAUACAUUGAAACUUGAAAAACUAAGCUUGCACACUUAAACAAAGCUGACUUAACAGCUUAAUUGUCAUCAAAAUACAUCAAUCAUAAACCUAACAUAGUUCUAAAUGAACUAAAGUACAUUACAUUAACUUAAGAUUACAAGUUGAUCAAAAUAGGAAUAGUUCAGCUCGUUCCAGCAGCUCCUGCAUGACUUGGUCUUGAUGGCCUGCAUGCUGUCGAGUUUGCUGCAUGCUGAACCAACUUCAUCAAUUUGCCUCCCUAUCUAAGACCAUGUUUCCUCCAUCUAAGCCAUUUUCCGGAGGAUUAUAUGAUAGAUGUGGAUAGAUUGACUCAAUUAUGGGUUGCUGAAGGUAUUGUGUCAUCAAAGCAAGAAGAAAGAAAUUGUGGACAAAUUGCGGAAGAUGUGGCGGAAUCUUAUUUAACGGAGCUUGUGGAAAGGUGUAUGAUUCAAGUACGAGAAAGAGAUGUGGCAACCUUAAAGGUCAAAACAAUUCAGAUGCAUGAUCUGAUGAGAGAUCUUUCCUUAUCAAAGGCAAAACAAGAAAAUUUUGUCUUCAUUGUCGAUCAAUCAAAUGCAUCUUCAUUAUCUAUGAUUCGGAAGGUUCGAAGGGUUUCUGUGCAUGAGUUUUUUUUCAUACAAUGCAUUAAAAGUCCAAAUAUUCGGUCACUUUUGUUCUUCAAUGAGUUCUUUCCGGAGGAGGCAUUAGAAAAAUCUUUGCCCUUGGAAGUGUUGAAUUACGUUGAAGAACAUGAAGAUGAAGUUUGUAAUCCACUUGUUUGGAUUCUUAUGAUUUCGCGAACUGGUACGAGCUUUCUUAAUGCUCGGGGAAUUUGGAGAUACAUGUUCAACAACUUCAAAUUGCUAAGAGCCCUAAACUAUGAGAGAACAACAGGUGAUCGUUUUGUAGGGUUUAAGUUACCCAGUGAUAUAGGUAAUCUCAUCCAUUUAAGAUUCUUGAGUCUAAAGGAUCUUGAGUUCACAUGGCCAAAGUUGCCAUCAUCUCUAGGCAACUUAAGGUGCUUGCAAACCUUGGAUUUAAGAGUUGAUAGUUACAAAAUUCAUGUACCUAAUGUGAUAAGGAGGAUGGAGCAACUAAGACAUUUAUAUCUCCCUUGGAGAUGUAAAAGUAGAACUAAGUUGAAGUUGGGUACUUUGAGAAAACUCCUAACACUUGUGAACUUCAACACCAAGAAUUGUUAUCUGAAGUAUCUUAUCAACAUGACAAAUCUUAGAGAGUUGGGGAUAAAUUUACCCUUCAAUUUUGAAAAUUUCAAUGAGAAGGAGUUGGGCGAGAAUCCAUUCAUAAUCGGAAGCAAAUAUCUUCAUUCCUUGUCUAUUAUUACCCGUAGGCUAAAGAUAUCAAUAGAUCCAAGACAUUUGGCCCACCUCCUUUCAACUUGUACAAGUAUUUGCAAGUUGAGUAUAGCAGCAGAGAUAAGUAAGUUACCAGAGUAUCACUACUUCUCUUCACAUCUCACUUACAUACGGUUGAGAUGGUGCAAGUUUGAGGAAGAUCCAAUGCCAACACUAGAGAAGCUGCCUAACUUAAGGAUUCUUGAAUUCGAAAGAUCUUUCGAAGGAAAGGAAAUGGUUUGCUCUGCUCAGGGUUUUCCUAAACUUGAGUCUCUAAUCCUUGCGGAGGUCGACAAUUUGGAGGAGUGGGAGGUGGAUGACGGAGCCAUGCCUUCUCUUCAGCGAUUGAAGAUUCGGGAAUGCUUAAACUUGAAGAUGCUUCCAGAGGGAUUGAGGUUCAUUACAACCCUCAAAGAACUGAAGAUUAAUGAAUCAAUGCCAAAGGCAUUCAAAGAUAGAUUGGAGGAAGGAGGAGAAGAUUUCUACAAAGUCAAACAUGUUCCUAAUAUCAUAUUCCAUGCCUGUUACCUAUAUUGAAUGAUAAUUGAAAGGUAAUUUCAUAACCUCUAGAUUAGGAAAUGAUUCCUACUUUCUUUGCUUCUUAUAUAUCUUUCAUUUUUCUCACUCAAUUUGUCAACACACCAAUGAAUAAUUACAUUUAUUAAAAGUCAAAGGAAGUCAGACAUUGAUCUUUUUAGUUUUACUUUUCAGGUAAAGACGCCAUUUUUUCACCAGCUACUGCUAUUCACGGGAUCAAAUCUAGAUUUAAAACUCCUAUUAUAAGUGGCGUGUGAAAGUGUGUUAUAUGGUGAGAUUUGGAAUUAUCUUCUCUCUUGUAUAUAUCUAUGGAUGUUGAUUGUUUGUUGUUUUCUUCAAAUUACAAUAAAACGGUUGCAAGAUAUGGCAUUGGAAGAAUGGGAGGUGUCUGGAUCAGCAAGGUACGAAACCCCUUCUCCAUUUCAAUUUCCUUCAAUCUAAUUUAAUUACACAUUCAUUUUUGUCUUUUAAAACAUAAAAUUGCAGAUAAGGAGACGUCACUAACCUUUGUUCCCACAUAGCUUUGGUUUGCGGUCACCGUUCCUAUAUUUAUUUGUUAGCUUUGCUUUCUCUUUGUUUUUUUUUCCCUACUUAAGUCUGCUCGAGUCUUUUUCUUCUUUUAUAUGUACUUAAUGUAAUAGUAGAAGCCAAGAUAGGAUCAUUCUUUUCUAUUGUAAAAUUCAUCACUUCGUUGUCUAUGUUCAUUUCUACUCUUCAGUUUACUUAAAUAUAAUUGUUUGACAUAUAUUUGAAUAUGGAGAAUAUAAUCUUUUUAAUAUAUACAUAUUUUAGAAAAAACUGAAUAUAUGCAUGUUGGACACAUUUCCCGUUUCAACAUAUUUCCUUAUUUACAAUUAUAAAACAAACCGUUUAAGAGUAUACAAACUACUUAUACAAAAUUCUUUUAAAUUAAAGAUGAAAUUAUAUAUAAAUUACAAAUGAAAUUAAUUAUAUAUACAAAUUUAUAAGUGAAAAAUAUACAUAAUUAUAUUCAUAAAAAAAUACAAACAAGGUUAUAAAGUAAUUCAUAGGAAUAUAGCUUUCUUGUUUCUAUUCUCAUUCGAUUAUGAAUAUACCUUUCUUGUUAGUAUUCUCAUUCUAUUUUGAACAUACCUUUCUUGCUUGUUUUCUCAUUCUAUUAUGAAUAUACCUUUCUUGUUUGUAGUCUCAUUCUAUUGAUGAUUAAUUCAUGUUGCUUUAUAAUUUUUUUAUAAAUUUAAUAGAACUAUUACUACUAAAAGUAUAAAAGGGCAAUGAUUUGCCAUUGUUUUUAUAAUUUUAAGUACUGCUUCUUGCAAUUGUUUUCCCAGCAAGAUUGCGGCACUCACAUCUUGAAAUCCAAAUUCAAGAUUUUAAAGAAUUUUCUGAGCUCGAUCACUGUUAUGGCUUGGUCUGCUGUGACAUCUGCAGUGACAACAAUUGGCAACCUGCUAACUCAGGAAGCCAUAUACCUAUGGGGCGUGGAGGAGCAAGUUGAUCGUCUGCAAACAGAGCUCAAAUGGAUGCAAAGAUUCUUAAUGGAGGCAGAGACAAAACAAUCAAAGGAUGAGAUGAUUGGUCUUUGGGUUGCUGAAAUCAGAGAGCUUGCUUAUGAUACCGAGGAUGUUGUCGAGGAAUUUGCUCUCAAGAUUGGAUCCAAAAACAAAGGAGGUCUUGCCAGUUGUAUUAAAUGAUCAGCCUGCUGUUUGAAAGAGGGAUGGGCGCUCCACAAAACCAGGUCAAAAAUCGAGAAAAUCAAAGAAAGAAUCAACGACGUGGUCCGAAAACUACAGGCCUACGGAGUAAAGGACAGAGAAGAAUCAAGUUCUUCAACUGAAAUACGAGAAUUAAGGCGGCCUUAUCCACAUAUUAUGGAUGAUAAUAUUGUUGGACUAGUUGAUGAUACUGAGGGAUUGGUCAAAGUUCUUACGAAGGAAAGUGGAUGCAAGGUUGUUACAAUAUGCGGCAUGGGUGGUCUGGGAAAGACCACUCUCGCCAAGAAAAUAUAUCGCCAUCGUCAGGUUAUUGAUUAUUUCGAUCACUUGGCUUUUGUAUAUGUUUCUCAACAAUUCCAGAAAAGAAAUGUUUGGGAAGACAUUCUAUCUAGUUUCAAAACUUUAGAUAAAGAGGACAGGAAGAAAAGAGAUGAAGAAUUAGCAGAGAAGUUGUGUAACAUUUUGGAGGUUAAAAAGUGUUUGGUGAUACUUGAUGAUAUUUGGACCAGUGAAGCUUGGAAUUGUCUACAACCUGCCUUUCCAGUUGAAACGGGCAGUCAUAGCAAUAGCAAGGUAUUGCUCACCUCUAGAAACAGGUGGAUAGUUCCAUAUGCUGACAAAAGAGGUAAAAUUUUCUUGAUUAGGUAAAAUUGAAUACUCUUAUUCCUUUUAUGGAAAAUAACUAUGUAUAUUAUUUCAGAAUUGAAGCGCCUAAACGGUGAAGAAAGUUGGGAAUUAUUUCAAAAGAUUGUAUUUCCUCAAACAGGUAAAUAUAGAUAUAGCAAAAUUCUUGUUAUAUGCUAAAUUUAUUUUUCAUUUUUAAUUUUUUUUUGACAAUAAUUAAAAUCAAAAAUAUAUAAAAUCUAUUUUAUUUAAAAAUUUCAAAACCUUAAUAUGAAAUAAAUAAAAGAAAUCAAGGCUUUGGAGUUUAUCAAUUAAUGGUACAUGCACGUAAAUAUAAUUAAUAGGUAAAUUUAUUAUCUUUUAUAUUGUAAUUUUUUAAUAACUUCGCUAUUACUUACUGGGAAUACAUUAUAUUAGGGUUAUCUUAAAAAAUAUAAUUUUUAGGCACAAAUAAAAUAGUGUUAUAUCGCUAAAUUUUUAAGAUAAUUAAGAAUUAUUUUACACUCAUUUAUAUUUAAUAAUUUCUCCAACUUAAUUUAACUUUAAGGGUAAACUACCAAAAUAGUCACUUUUGUUUGGCUCAGGUUACAUUUUAGUCACUUAUGUUUGAAAUGUUACGUUUUAGUCACUUAUGUUAUCGCAUUGUGACAUUUUAGUCAUUGAGCCGUUAUUUUCUAUUAACGGUGUAACAGUGAGCUGAUGUGGCACUUUAAAUCAUCAUUUCAAACAAAACUUCUAGGUUAAUUUAUACAAUCGAUCCCCAUAUUUUUUUGUUUGGAGCAAUUUAAUUUUUUUCUUUUAUUUUUUUUAACUUUCUUUCUUUUCCAUUCUAUUAUGCUUCUCCAUUUGUUUUCCUCCCUUUUCCAUUUUUGUCAACCCAAUUUUUCUAUGCUUUAUUUUUUUGAACAAUUUAAAAUUUUCGAGUGAGGCGAGCUUGUGGACUAGUUACAAAUGAAAAACAUAGAAAAACUAUGUUAAAAGAAAUGAAGAAUGGAGGAAAAUAGAGGGAGAAGCAGAAGAGAAUGGAAAAAAAAAAGUUAAAACAACAUAAAAGAAAUUUUUUAAAUUGUUGAAAAUGAAAAAAUAUAGGGACCAAUUGUAGAAUUUAACUUAAAAUUUUUGUUUGAAAUGAUGAUUUAAUGUGCCACAUCAACUUACCGUUACACUAUUGUCGCCAAUUAAUGACUUGUGACUAAAAUGUUACAACACGAUAACGUAAGUGACUAAAACGUAACAUUUCAAACAUAAGUGACUAAUGUACAGCCCAAUUAUUGCCCGGGCCCAAUUAACAGAGCCCAAGCGGCCCAAUAAGCCCAACAGGCCCAGAACCCCGUCAAGGGUUUCAGAAAACGGAAACCCUAGCCAAGCCUAGCGCCGCGCCCAUCCCUCUGCCAUCAUCAUUCGUUUUGUCCCAUCGCCACCCACCGCUACUAGCUUCAUCAACGCCUGCAAAAAAUGAUAGAAAAAAAGCAAGAGCACGCAACAGAUAGUGCAAGACAGCAAAAUACAAUCAAAAUACAAUGUAAAAGGCUAUAAAAGCCAAACAAUAUCUCUGUACAAGGGGGACGGCAUUUUGAAUUAAAAAAGGAAAAACAGAUCAAAAAAGGUUGACUCCAGUUUAUUCUUCUCUGUUCUUGUUUCUUAUUUACUUUACUCUUUAUUUAUUGUUAAUUUUUUCUGCAAUCGAUCAAAAAGAAAAAGGAACUGAAAGGGAAAGGAGUAAAUACCUUACCGCUUCGACGGGCUGGUGUCGGAACCCCACCCUUGCCGUCGUCGGAGUCGAGCCAAAAGGGGCGUUUCAUCCCUUUUCCUUUUGAUCUCGCGGUUGAGAAGGCUUAGCCUUCGGGGACGCCGCAAAAGAGGGAGGCCUAGGGGCCGUUCUCGUGCAACCCCGGCCACUGGCCAUGGGGCGGCAUGGUGGCCUGAGCUUAAGGGCCGAGAAAGGCACAGAGAGGAGGGUUCGAGCUAUCUGCUUUUCUUUUUUGUGUUUCUUUUUUAUUUUUUCUUUUUUUUCUUUCUCGUUUAAAAAUGAAAGGGUGGUUACCAGAUUAGGGUUCUUUUUGGCCCUUUUGUGAUGUGUGAAACGACGCCGUUUGGAGUCUGAUCAGUGGCUCCAAAACGGCGCCGUAUUGAGCUUUGACCCGCGUGGUGACCCGACCCAGGGGAAGGAUCCACGUGUUUUCUUUAAAUGGGAUAUUUGUGCGCGCAGUCCCUCCGACUUUGAAGCGCGUUGCAAUUUGGUCCUAUUUCGCUAUUUCCUUUUAUUUUUUAAUUUAGCCCCAGAAUUUUAUUUUUGUUCUAAUUUGACCCUUUGCUGCGCAGUGUUUUGGGGUUUCGGGGUAUUUACCAUUUUGGUCCCCCCUUUUUCGCGCGCGUUACAUUUUGAUCCUUUAUUCUAUUUUAUUUUUUUAUUUCAGCCCUAAGAUUUCAUUUCUGUUUUGAAUUAGUCCUAUUAUUAUUAUUAUUAUUAUUACUAUUAUUAUUACCUAUUUAUUUAUACUAAUUUUAUUUAAAUUUCUGGUACGUAUAUAUAUUUUUAUAUAUUUUACAACUUAUGCACCUAUUUAUAUAUCUAUGUACAUAUUUUCAUUUUCAUAAAUACAUACAUGUUUAUAUAUAAUCUUUAUAGUCUAAAAUACAUCUUUUUUAUAUUUUUUGAAUCCGCAUAUACAUACACAUUUUUUAUAUAUUUUUAGCAUGUAUAUAAAUUAACGUAUUUAUUUGUAUACAUAUGUAUAUUUUCAUUAUUUUUAAAAAACUUUAAUUUGUACAUAUAUAUAUUUUUUUCUUUUAUUUUACAAUAUAUAUAUACACUUACUUUUUAUAUGUAUUUCUUUAUUUUCGUAUUCCAUAGUUUUAUACACCUAUAUACAUGUACAUAUUUUUAUAUAUAUGCAUAUCUAUUUAUAUAUAUAUCAAAAUAUACUUUAUAUAUUUUGUUAAUUCAUGUAUACACAUAUUUUAGAUCAUGUCUAUAUAUAUCUUUUUAUACUUAAUUGUAUUUGCUAUUUAUUUAUUUCAUUUUUGUUAUUAUUUUGAAUGAAUGUUUUAGUUUUAUUCGUUUUUUAUAUUUUGUUAUUUUAUAUGUUGUAAGUUUGAUCGUUUAUAUUGAUUGCUAUUGCUUGCAUCGUUUUUAUAUUUUCAUAUUCAUUAUGAUUUUGCCAUGCAUAAAAAAUGUAAUUUGCUUUCACUAUGAUUUUGUGUUCUAUUCGAUAUAUAACAAAAUUUAUUUAUUUUAAUAAAUAGCACUCCGUGUAUUAGAUUCGAGAUGAUCGUACCCUAACUUACUGGGUUUCGAUUUUCACGAUAAAUCUAAAUACACGAAUCUUUUUAAACUCAUUUUUUUAAAAAAUGAUCUCGGGGUUAAAAAAAAUCGCGUCCUAACUUACUGGUCAUGAUCUCAUUUUAAAUCCGAGAUGGCUAAAAUAUCUUUUAAAUAAGCUCCUUUUUAUUCAUGUCAAGAAUUUGAGACAUUGUAUUCUAACUUACUGGAUAUGAUUCUCUUUCUCGAUUAACGUGAAAUAUACUUCUUUUUCCAAAAAUUUUCAUUUUAAUACAAGGAUCGUAUUUUUAAUUCUCUCAAGUUCUCAAUUUUCAAUAUCAAGACGUUAGAUAAUUAACUAGGUACCAAUUUCUGGGCGUUACGAGGGUGCUAACCCUUUCUCGUACGUAACCGACUCCCGAACCCGUUUUCUAGAUUCUGUAGACCAAAAUCGUUGUUUUAAUAAAAUCAAAUUAUUUAUUAAAAACAACAUCUUUCCAAGGUGACCCAAUCACACCUCAAAAAGGAUUGGUGGCGACUCCCUUUUUCGUUUUCAAAACCCAAGUCGACCCCGUUUUCAUCAAAAAAAAUGGUGUCAACAGCUUGGCGACUCCACUGGGGAACAUAAAUAAGAGAGUCAAGCCACGAGUUGAUUCUCUCUUGUCUUUUUGUCGAAAGUUGAAAAUUUGAUUUAAAUAUACGAUCCUCUCAUUACAUUUUAUUUUGAGUUAUAGUUUUUAUCAUGUUUUGUAUUUUAAAUUUUUUAUAUACCUCUGCACAUUGCAUUGCAUGAUCGUUGGUCACACCUCUUAAGUGGGAGUGAUAAGCUACGCCUUCGUGAGGUUUUCACCUCCGCAUGGGAUAGUGAAUCGCUUCCGGGAUACAUCCGUACCUAUGUCUUCGUGAGAUUUUCAUCUCUGCAUGGCCAUAGGGAAAUGCAUUCCCCUGAACUGAACUCAGUCCGUAUGAGCCUAUAAUGGGUGAGGAUUGAGGAAUCUGCUGGUUCAGGUUCCCUACUUAGAACCAAACCACAUGUAAUGAGCCAUAAGAACCGACCUAGGUAGAGCUACGCCAAACCUUAGUGCUUACCUAAAUGGAUGCUAUGUUUACCGUCAUUUACGUUAAAUCUUGUUCUGCGUAAUACUAUUUUUGCUUUAUUUGUGAUUGUAUGGCAUUGUCAUUCUAAAAGAGGUGUCGAUUCAUGUUCAGUGUCUAAAACGAAAGCUUAUCAUGGAAAAGGGAUUUCUUGAUAAAGUAGAAGAUAAUGCGACUGUGCGAGUAUGGGCUGAGACGACACAACGGGAUAAAGGCGAUAGUCUUACCGAAGGGCACGUGUCAGAAUUGUGGGAUGUCAAGACCAAGCAGCUGUUCUAUUAUAACUACGGUGACCUACCUUAUCUGCUCAGUGUCAAAGUGGACAAGUAUUUAUUCCGAGCCCUUGCUCAGUUUUGGAAUCCUGCCUACAGUUGUUUCACUUUUGGGAAAGUAGAUUUGACGCCUACUGUGGAGGAAUAUACGACCUUGCUUCGGUGCCCAAAGUUUCAAGUCGACAGGGUUUAUUCUAGAUCUGCUUGUGUCCCUCCGUUGUUAAGGAAAUUAAUGAACAUUACUGGGAUGAGCGAGCAGUGGGUCGCUGCCCGAAUCCAACAGAAGGGCGACAGUAAAUCUGUCCCUUGGAAAAGCUUACGAGAUUUGGUACUUAUACAUCCUGACGUAAAGAAAAGGGUCGAUGUCUUCGCUUUAGGUAUCUACGGGCUAGCGGUCUUCCCCAAAGCUUUAGGGCACAUAGACGAGGCUGUAUCUGAUUUGUUUGAUCGGCUUAGUAAAAGGGGUUACACCGGUUCCGGCAAUACUGGCUGAAACUUUCAGAUCUCUGAGUGCAUGUCGAAAAACAGGUGAGGGAAGGUUUAUUGGAUGUGCACAACUUUUAUUGGCAUGGUUUCAUAGCCAUUUCUGGAAAAUGGAAAAGGUCUCUUAUCGAGUAUUCUCUAACAGCUACUCCCCUCUAGAGGAAUUGGUGGCCACGCCAAGACGGGAUGAUAUUUCAGAAGAAAUAUGGAUGGAGAUACUCCAGAAUCUCCAGGAUGAAUAUAUUAAAUGGAGGGCUCCUUGGUUAAUUCCUGAUGAGAUAUUGUACCGAUGUAGAGAUUUCGACUAGGUUCCUCUGCUCGGGAUAUGGGGAGCUAUCGGAUAUGCUCCCCUACUCAUAUCCAGACAGUAUAGAUCACGACAAUUCGUACCAGUAACGCAGGGGUUGGCCUAUUGUGAUUUUUCCUAUAGGGAGGACAAUUAUAAGAAAAAGGUUCAAGAAGUGUCUAAUGCCUGGAACCAAACUCGCCGAAUGAAGAUUUUAGCUGUGGGUCCGACAAUGACCCCCGAGUAUAGCCAGUGGCGUGAUCAAAGGGUCAACGAUAAUAUCCCGGCGUCAAAUCCAAAAACUACUCGAUCUUUAGAGGAACACCUACAAGUAUUGCCCUCUGAGAUAGAAAUUAUCAAGCAAGAAUUUGAAAAGAGGAGUUUGGAGAUAGGGAAGAAAGUAGAGCAGUUAGAGGAAGAGAAAAUGCAGUUAGGACUGGAUUUGGACAUUUAAAGAUUAGAGGCCGACAAAUUAAGAAAAGGAAAGAACAAGGCAGAAGAAGAUUUAGACAGCCUGAAGAUGGAUUACAAGAAGUUGCGUAGGUCGAUAAGAACUGCUGGCUUGGGUAAAACGCCAGAACAAUGGCGACAGGAAAUUUAGGAGGAAAAAAUGAAAGCUAAUUAGUGGGAAAAGAAAUUUCAGGAUACUCAAACUCGAGAAGUUACUUUGGGAGAGAGUCUACUAGCCUGCCAGAACGAGAAGACGAAGUUGAAUGCCCGAGUAACUGAACUGGAAAGGCUACUUCACCAAUACCGUAGUUGUAAUUCUGCGGUUGAAUUAAAGGCAAGCUUGGACAAAAUUGAAGAACUAAAGGGACAAGUAGGAGAGCUCGAGGACGCAUUGUAAAACAGCGAAUUCCGAAUAGAGCUUCUGGAAAGAAGUAGUGAGUAGUGGCAAGGGCAAUUCCAGCGGUCUCAAGAUCAGAUUAGAGAUAGAGAUUAUGUUAUGGGUGAGGCAGUGGUUCAAGUACGCGAGGUAGCUGAUUACCUGCAAACCCUAGCGGUUCAAGCUGAUCUAUUAAGUUUGAAGUAUGAGUCAGAAUCGGACCGGGGCCGAGAAUUAGCUCGGCUUCUUAAAAGGUUAAGGCUUUGGGUAUAAGGGCAAAGCCGUAUGUGUAAUCUAUUUUAUGUAAAGAAAUUUCUUCUCUAGUAAAGUUUUCUAAUGAAGUUGAAUUAGAAUCAGUGCCUCUUUUUGCAUUCAUGCAUCUACAUAUCAUCAUAUGCAUCAAGUUUUAAAAAUGGAGCCUAAUUAAUUUAAAAUUAUGACAGAACUACCCUGGAAACUAACAAAAAUUCACCAACCGUUUAUCACUACGGUACCCGUCGCAAAACAAAAGCCAUGGAUCAAAGACUCGAAAGACUCGAACAACUCCAAAAGGAGAUGCAAGAACAAAUGCAAGAGCGGUUAGAGAAGAUUCAACAAGAUAUGAAGAACGAAAUGAUAGAGUCUCAAAAAAGCAUGAUAGCUGAAUUAACGCAGUUGUUCAAAGGGGGAAGCGACAAAGGAAAAGACCCCGUGGUUAAUACAGAAGAAGAAAAUAAUGAGAGCCCUCUCUAUCCCCCAGGUUUCACUCCUCCUCAUGCGCAAACCCAAGCUGAGGUGCAACCACGCAGAUCAUCUGUUACUAUCAGGCCUCAGCAGUUUCAAACUGGUGCCUCAAUGCCAGUAAAUUUCCAAACUGGAAUAGGUUCUCAUCUCGGAGAAGCCCCUACUAAUCCCAUAGUACCCGAUUUUGACGAAAUGAUGGGAAAAGAGAAAACAAAGGAAGAACUGCCGAGUCAAUUGGAGGAAAGAUGUAAAUGGCUCGAAGAGAAAUUCAAAGCCAUGAAAAGUAGCGAGAAUUAUCAUGGGAUGGACGCUAAAGAUCUAAGCUUGGUACCAGAUUUGGUCCUUCCUCCCAAAUUUAAGAUGCAGGAGUUUGAAAAAUAUGACGGGACAAGUUGUCCCGAAGCUCAUAUCACUAUGUUUUACCGAAGGAUGACCGGGUACAUCAACAAUGAACAACUGUUGGUUCACUGUUUUCAGGACAGUUUGAUCAGGUCAGCGGCUAGAUGGUACAAUCAAUUGAGUCGAACCGAAAUCCACUCCUGGAAAGAUUUGGCGCAGGCCUUUAUAAAGCAGUACAGACAUGUGAUGGAUAUAGCACCCGAUCGAAUUAUAUUGCAAAACAUGGAAAAGAAAACUAAUGAGAGCUUUCGCCAGUAUGCUCGGAGAUAGAGGGAAGUAGCAGCACAAGUUCAACCACCACUUUUAGAGAAUGAGAUAACCAUGAUUUUUAUCAAUACCUUGAAAGCUCCAUUUCUCAAUCACAUGUUGGACAGUGCCACUAAAAGCUUGUCAGACAUAGUGAUGUCUGGAGAAAUGAUAGAGAACGCCAUAAGAUGUGGCAAGAUAGAAGCAGGAGAAAGUACUAAAAGGUCGGCUCCAAGGAAGAAGGAGCACGAGAUAAAUAAUACAAGCAUGUUUAACAAGGACCAUUCUAAAACAAUCAUGGUCGGACAAGCCAGAGCAGUAACCGCUAAUCGACAAGGUUCUUCGAAACAGGAAUCUAAUCCAAGGCCAAAUGUAGAGAGACUUCAAUUCACACCCAUCCUAGUGACGUAUAGGGAAUUGUACCAGAACUUAUUCGAUGCACAUGUGGUAUCUCCAUAUUACCUGAAACCAAUGCAACCCCCAUACCCUAAGUGGUAUGACGCAAACGCCCAAUGCGAGUAUCACGCGGGGACCAAGGGGCAUUCGAUUGAAAACUGCACUGCAUUCAAGAAGUUAGUUGAAAAACUUAUCAAUUUGGGGAUCGUAAAGAUUGGUGACUCAUCAGGACCAAAUGUAGUAGAGAAUUCGUUGCCCAAUCAUGACAAUAAAGGGGUAAACGCGAUAAUUGAGAACGGAAGAAAGAGAGUCAAAGCCAACGUAGCCGAGAUAAGGACCCUCUUGAAUGGGUUUGGAAACAAAUGGUGAAAAGAGGUCUCAUUAGGCAAAAUUCAAUAAAAAGGCCUGAAGGAGCAAGGAAGUUUUGUGAGUUCCACGCAGAAGAAGGCCAUGACAUCCAAAAGUGUACCGAGUUCAGAACCAUGGUGCAAAGCUUAAUGGAUAGCAAAGAGUUAGAGUUUUAUGAAGAGAUUAAUGAACUAGGAGAAGGAGAGGUCUAUGCUACAGAAGAAGGAUCUACGGGGAAAGCCCAAAAGGCUAAUUACCCGGUGGUAAUUAUUUCAAAACCAAUGAGCAGAGAAUCUGGAAUACAAAUAGCACCAAAGGUCAUAAUCCAAAAACCUGUAUCCUUUCCCUACAAGGAUAGCAAAAAGGUUCCUUAGAAUUACAAUUGCAAUGUAACAAUCCCAGGAGAAGAGAGCUUGGUAAAUGCUUCAGGAGAGGAUGAAGGAUUCUAUACACGAAGUGGAAAACGCUAUGAUCCGACAAACGCAAGAGUGGAGUCUGGAAAAGGAAAAGCCUUAGCGGUUGAAUUGGGAAAAACAAAGACAGACAAAAUUGAGCCGCGUAUCAAUCAGCCGGUAACUGAAAAUGAGGCUAAUGAAUUUCUAAAAUUCUUAAAAUAUAGCGAGUACAGCGUGGUAGAGCAAUUACAUAAGCAACUGGCUCGUAUCUCGAUGCUUGAAUUAUUUCUAAGUUCAGAGAUACAUCGUAAUGCGCUGAUUAAGGUGCUAAAUGAAACUUACGUCGCUGAUGAUAUCUCAGUGAAUAAGUUGGACCGUUUGGUUAAUAAUAUCAGUACCGACAAUUUCAUUUUCUUUAAUGAUGAUGAAAUACCGUCCGGGGGAAGAGGAGCCACCAAAGCCUUACAUAUUUCUACUUACUGUGGGAAAUAUAUGUUAUCAAGAGUGCUAAUUGAUAAUGGAUCAGCCUUGAAUGUUUUACCCCUAUCCACCUUAAAUAGGUUACCGGUGGACAGCUCUCACAUGAAAUCAUGCCAGAACAUAGUGAGAGCAUUUGAUGGUACCGAAAGAAAGGUGAUGGGAAGAAUAGAAGUACCUCUCUUGAUUGGCCCAAAUACGUACGAAGUGGAUUUCUUAGUGAUGGAUAUCAAGCCUUCGUAUAAUUGCUUGCUCGGGAGACCAUGGAUUCAUUCAGCAGGGGCGGUGCCUUCAUCAUUGCACCAGAAGUUGAAAUUAGUGACAGAAGGCCGGUUAAUUAUGGUUGACGCUGAGGAAGACAUCAUUGCAUCGGUAACCAGUGACGCACCAUAUUUGGGAGUGGAUGAUGAUGCGGUCAAAUGUUCUUUUCGAUCCUUAGAGUUCGUAAAUGUAACUUUUGUCACUGAGGGAAAGAAAAUCCCAAUGCCCAGCAUGUUUAGAGCCAUAAGGAUGGGAUUACAAAUGACAGUUGGGAAAGGAGCUGUGCCUGGAAGAGGACUGGGAAGAUGCCUUCAAGGAAGGAUAGAGGCACCAGUGGUGAAAGACAAACACGACCGUUUUGGUUUAGGAUUUAAACCAAAUGCCAAGCAGAGAAGAAAAGAGUUAGAGAAUAGGCAAGAUAGAAGGAAUGCGCGUUUGAACGGAAAAGAAGUUAAUUGGGAACCUAUGGCUUGCCCCCACAUAUCCAGGACAUUCAUAUCGGGAGGAACCAUGUAUUCUAGACUGAGGACUCCAAGAAAGAAGACCGCAGAGGAAAUGUUAGGAAACUUGAGCAUCAAUGCCAUAUUUGAAGAAGAAUCUGAAGAAUGAAGUACAUCAGGCAUCUAUCCUGUUGAACCUGGGAGUGUUUUAAACAAUUGGACUGCAAAAGAAAUGUCUGAAGUUUUUAGAGCUUUUCCAGAGUAAUAUUCAAAACAUAUUAAUUGUUCUAAGCAUUUGUGAACUGAAAUGGGCUUAUAUGUGGACAUUAUGAUUUCAAUGAAAUAUAUCUUCGCAUUUUGAGUAUAUAUUCUUUUAAAAUUCUUUUCAUUCUUUCAUACGAAUAGUCAUCUUGAAUGCUUUUAUUCGAAUCAUUCUUUUAUUCAUGGUCAUACUAAAUAAGAAUCCUUAAAUUCAUACAUUCCCUGUACAUUCUUUGAUACCUAUAACAGGUCCCAAGAUAUCAAUGAUAUGAGUGACUCUACUAUGGACUUAGAAAAUCCUUUUGAACGAGAUAUUUGUUUAGAGGAAUCUCAAAAUUUUGAAGCUAACACAGAUUGCAACCUAUCUUCGGACUUGUUGAGGAUGGUAGAGCAGGAAGAGAAACAGAUUCUACCUCACGAGGAGACGAUAGAGAUAGUGAUCCUGGAAGAGGGAAAUGUGGUAAAGAUUGGCACGUGCAUAGCUAAAAAAGUGAAACAAUACCUCGUUAAAUUGCUUCGAGAGUUCAAAGGUGUCUUCGUAUGGUCAUACCAAGAUAUGCCGGGGUUAAGUACUGACAUCGUAGUUCACCGACUUCCUAUAAAGGAAGAUUGCAAACCAGUUCAGCAAAAACUCCGAAGAAUGAGGCCUGAUGUUGUGUUAAAAAUAAAAGAGGAGGUGCAAAAACAAUUCGACGCUAGAUUCCUGCAGGUGGUCAAAUACUCCGAGUGGGUAGCCAAUAUCGUUCCUGUCCCUAAAAAAGAUGGGAAGGUAUGAAUGUGUGUAGAUUAUAGAGAUUUAAAUAAGGCUAGCCCCAAAGAUAACUUUCCCUUGCCGCACAUCGACGCCUUGGUGGACAACACAACAGGACAUUCGUUGUUUUCUUUCAUGGAUGGCUUCUCUGGAUAUAACCAAAUUAAGAUGCACCCUGAGGAUAUGAAGAAAACUACAUUCAUAACCCUAUGGGGAACCUUUUGUUAUAAGGUGAUGCCAUUUGAGUUGAAAAAUGCAGGGGCAACGUAUCAGAAGGCCAUGGUAACACUGUUCCAUGAUAUGAUGCAUAAGGAGUUAGAGGUCUAUGUUGAUGACAUGAUUGCAAAAUCUAAAACAGAAGAGGAACAUGUGCAGGUCCUUAAGAAAUUAUUUAUGAGGUUGAGAAAAUUUCAGCUAAAGCUAAAUCUAGCAAAAUGCACAUUUGGGGUCAGAUCAAGAAAAUUGCUUGGGUUCGUGGUCAGUGCGAGAGGAAUUGAGAUUGAUCCUGACAAAGUAAGAGCAAUACAAGAAUUAACCCCGCCGCGUACUCAAAAGGAGGUUCGAGGUUUUCUAAGAAGGCUGAACUAUAUUGCUCGGUUCAUCUCACACCUAACUGAGAAAUGCGACCCUAUAUUUCGCCUCCUCAAGAAACAUAAUCCUGGUGUAUGGGAUGAGAAAUGUCAAAAAACUUUUGAAAAAGUCAAACAUUACUUAUCAAACGCCCCAGUGCUGAUGCCACCCUGCCCAGACAAACCGCUCAUACUGUAUUUGGCAGUAUUUGAAAAUUCCAUGGGGUGCAUGCUUGGUCAACAUGAUGAAUCAGGACGAAAGGAAAGAGCAAUCUACUAUCUCAGUAAGAAGUUCACUGAAUGUGAAACAAGAUAUUCGCCAAUCAAGAAAUUAUCUUGUGCCCUAAUCUGGACAACUCGGAGACUGAGACAGUACAUGUUGUACCAUACGACCUGGUUAAUCUCCAAAUUAGACCCUCUGAAAUACUUAAUGGAGUCAACCGCUCUGAAUGGAAGAAUGGCCCGAUGGCAAAUUCUUCUAUCUGAAUUUGACAUAGUCUAUGUAAACCAGAAGGCGGUCAAAGGGAGUGCAAUAGCGGAAUUCCUAGCAAGUAGGGCUCUGGAUGAUUAUGAGCCAUUGAACUUCGAUUUCCCAAAUGAAGAUUUGAUGUAUAUCGCAACUGUAGAGAAAGAUUUCCAAGAAGGUGGUCCUUGGAAGUUGAUUUUUGACGGAGCUUCAAAUGCUAUAGGCAACAGAAUUGGGGCAGUACUCGUGUCUCCUGGUGGAAAUUAUUAUCCUUUCACUAGCAAAUUGGACUUUGACUGCACAAAUAAUAUGGCUGAGUAUGAAACUUGCAUUAUGGGCAUCCGGGCAGCCAUAGAGCGGAAAAUUAAUGUGCUAGAGGUAUACAGGGACUCUGCAUUAGUAAUUUAUCAGCUCAAAGGGGAAUGGGAAACAAGAGACCCGAAGUUGGUCCGCUAUCGAAAAUUGGUUAUGGAAUUGAUUGAGGAAUUUGAUAGUGUCACCUUUAGUUACCUCCCGCGAGAUGAAAACCAGAUGGCAGAUGCUUUCGCCACUUUAGCCUCCAUGUUUAAAGUGAACAAAUUAGAAGAUAUGAAGCCUAUCCAGAUCAGCAUCUAUGAGGCUCCAGUUGCAACAUUGACAAUGAAGAGGGAAAGGAUGAUCACCCUUGGUACCAUGACAUAUUGCGAUAUGUGAAGAGUCGUGAGUACCCUGACCAUGCGACAGAAAAUGAUAAGAAGACAUUAAGGAGAUUAGCCAUUGAUUAUGCCCUAGAUGGGGAAAUUUUGUAUAAAAAGGGAAAAGAUCAAGUAUUGUUGAGGUGUGUGGAUGCUGUCGAGGCAAAAGAAAUUUUGGAAGAAGUGCAUGAAGGUAUCUGCGGAACGCAUGCCAACGACUUCACGAUGGCCAGACAAAUUAUGAGAUUUGGGUACUAUUGGUCCACCAUGGAAGGGGAUUGCAUUAAUUAUGCCAAAAGGUGCCAUAAAUGUCAAAUUUAUAGUGACAAAAUGUACGCACCACCUUCACCCCUUCAUGUUAUGGUUUCUCCAUAGCCUUUCUCCAUGUGGGGAAUGGACGUUAUCGGGCCAAUAUCUCCAAAAGCUUCUAAUGGACAUCGUUUUAUCUUUGUGGUUAUUGAUUACUUCACUAAAUGGGUGGAGGCUGCUUCAUAUGCAAAUGUCACGAAGUCGGCAGUUAGCAAGUUUCUGAAAAAUGAGAUCAUAUGUCGAUAUGGGAUGCCUAAAAGGAUCAUAUCCGAUAAUGCGAUGAACUUAAACAACAACUUAAUAGCGGAAGUUUGUAGUCAGUUCAAGAUCAGACACCACAAUUCGUCACCGUACCGUCUAAAAAUGAAUGGUACCGUGGAAGCAGCUAACAAAAACAUCAAGAAAAUUAUAGGAAAAAUGACUGAAACCUACAAAGACUGGCACGAGAAAUUACCUUUUGCUCUCCUGGCAUAUCGUACUUCUGUUAGGACCUCUAUUGGGGCAACACCGUUUUCUUUAGUCUAUGGGAUGAAAGCAGUUUUACCCAUAGAAGUUGAAAUUCCUUCCCUCCGAGUAUUAGCUGAACUAAAGUUGGAUGAGGCUGAAUGGAUUCAAUCUCGAUAUGACCAGCUAAACUUGGUAGAAGAAAAGAGGUUAAAAGCUAUUCGUCAUGGUCAGAUGUAUCAGAAACGAAUGAUGCGAGCCUAUAACAAAAAAGUUCGUCCCAGAGAAUUUUACAAGGGGGACCUGGUUUUGAAAAAGAUUCUUCCUCUACAAAAAGAUUUUAGAGGAAAAUGGAUGCCAAAUUGGGAAGGUCCUUAUGUGGUGAAAAAGGCCUUUUCAGGAGGAGCUUUAAUCCUGAGCGAGAUGGAUGGUAAAAGCCUACCAAAUCCUGUAAAUUCAGACUCAGUCAAGAAAUAUUUCACUUGAAAAAAGGGGCAUUCAAAAAAAAAGGAGAGCCCAAGGUGAAAACCCGCAAAGGGCGCCUUGAGACCAAAGGGGAUUUGAGUUGAAAACCUGAAAAAGGCGGCUCAAAUUUUGAAGAAACGUAAGGUGAACGGAACAGCUCAAAUUUUGAUCAGGAUCUGAGGCAUGUGGUGGUCUUACUAUACCUGAAUCACAAGAAGGAAUAGGUGACAUCUUGGGGUAUCGACAGAAUACUGUAGAUUCCCUAAACACAUAUUAAAUGGUCUUUAGAAAACUUAUGCAGAGAAGCUCGUACUGCGAUAUCUGGGGCACCUGUUGUCAUCUUAUAUUUUGAAUCUUGGAAAAAUUUAUUGUCUUGAUUAAUGUAUUCAUUUCAAGCUUUGCUCCCCAAUAAAAUUUCAUUUUGUCUAUUGUCUUAUUUCAUUUUUAUCUUAGCAAAAUUUGCUAUCUUGAUUAACUAAUUCAUUUUAAGAUUUGUUCUCAAUAACAUUUGUUUGUUCGUCGUGAUAAUAUUUUUCGAAAAAACAUUUAGAAUAACUAUUAAUGAACUGAAUGUUCAAGCAGAUGGAGUUUUGCAUAUUACUCUAGAAAUUUCUAAAUAAUGAAGGAACCUGAAACAGGACUGUUGUUUAGAGCACACCAAAUUCAAAGUGUCUAAAAGGGAAAAGUCCAAGACAGGACUAUCCUUUCAAAUUUUGUUAUCCAAACAUUGAACAAAAUGACAAGAUGUCGUGUUGGUGGCAAAGCUUCAAUGAACAAACAAGCGAUGUUCACCAAGCAAUAAGAAAAGAUCUUCUGGGAGAAGAAAACUCUUUAUUGAGCAUAAACAUUUGGUAUAACACCUUGGGAACGAAGUAAAGGACCAAAGAGCUUCACAUUCUGUAUCAUUGAAUUGUGAUAGCAGAGGAUCGAGAAAAGGCCAGAUCUUUCUACCUUUGGGUUACAGCGGGAGAAAAAUGGUUUUUGCAUCCAGUGGAUUGAACUUGGAGGUUAACAGUGGGGGCAAUCUGAUUAAGUGUUUCUUUGGAUUUGCCAGUCAAGCAAGAAGGCGUUGUAGCACGUCAGCGAUAAACUUUAAUAAGCUUUUGCGUGAUGAUAACCUAAGCAUUAAGGAAUCACUUUCAUGACAUUCGACAUUCAUUCAAAUGUCAUUCAUACACGUCUAGUUAGGAGCAUUUGAUUCAUUCUGGUCAUCCUAAUCACUAGGCACAGAUAGGUUCAUAAAAUAGAAUAUACAGGUCAUGUUCCUCAGAGAACAGAUCAAUAAAGAUAGUAGAUCUUGCCUUCCUGCACUGACAGCGAAGCAGAUCGAAGAAACCAUAGUUUGCAAUUUAAAAGAUCGAAGCCACAGCGGCGAAUCUUACUUCUGGCGAUGCAGCGGAGCAGAUUGAAGCUACAACAGCGAAUCUCACUUCCCCGACAUUGCAAUUUAAAGGAUCGAAGCCACAGCAGCGAAUCUUACUUCUGGCGAUGCAGCAGAGCAGAUUGAAGCUACAACAGCGAAUCUCACUUCCCCGACAUUGCAAUUUAAAAAAUCGAAGCCACAACGGUGAAUCUUACUUCUGGCGAUGCGGCGGAGCAGAUUGAAGCUACAACAGCGAAUCUCACUUCCCCUACAUUGAAAUUUAAAAAAUCGAAGCCACAACGGUGAAUCUUACUUCUGGCGAUGCAGUGGAACAGAUUGAAGCUACAACGGCGAAUCUCACUUCCCCGACAUUGCAAUUUAAAAGAUCGAAGCCACAACGGCGAAUCUUACUUCCAGGCGACGCAGCGGAAUAGAUUGAAGCCGCAAUGGCGAAUCUUUUCCUCGACAAGACUGGGCAAAAAUUGGUCUUUCUUAGUCUUUUCUCUGUUAUCGUUACACGACAACGAGCAAAGAGGGGCAGCUGUACAGCCCAAUUAUUGCCCGAGCCCAAUUAACAGAGCCCAAGCGGCCCAAUAAGCCCAACAGGCCCAGAACCCCGUCAAGGGUUUCAGAAAACGGAAACCCUAGCCAAGCCUAGCGCCGCGCCCAUCCCUCUGCCAUCAUCAUUCGUUUUGUCCCAUCGCCACCCGCCGCUACUAGCUUCAUCAACGCCUGCAAAAAAUGAUAGAAAAAAAGCAAGAGCACGCAACAGAUAGUGCAAGACAACAAAAUACAAUCAAAAUACAAUGUAAAAGGCUAUAAAAGCCAAACAAUAUCUCUGUACAAGGGGGACGGCGUUUUGAAUUAAAAAAGGAAAAACAGAUCAAAAAAGGUUGACUCCAGUUUAUUCUUCUCUGUUCUUGUUUCUUAUUUACUUUACUCUUUAUUUAUUGUUAAUUUUUUUCUGCAAUCGAUCAAAAAGAAAAAGGAACUGAAAGGGAAAGGGAAAGGGAAAGGAGUAAAUACCUUACCGCUUCGACGGGCUGGUGUCGGAACCCCACCCUUGCCGUCGUCGGAGUCGAGCCAAAAGGGGCGUUUCAUCCCUUUUCCUUUUGAUCUCGCGGUUGAGAAAGCUUAGCCUUCGGGGACGCCGCAAAAGAGGGAGGCCUAGGGGCCGUUCUCGUACAACCCCGGCCACUGGCCAUGGGGCGGCAUGGUGGCCUGAGCUUAAGGGCCGAGAAAGGCACAGAGAGGAGGGUUCGAGCUCUCUGCUUUUCUUUUUUGUGUUUCUUUUUUAUUUUAUUUUCUUUUUUUCUUUCUCGUUUAAAAAUGAAAGGGUGGUUGCCAGAUUAGGGUUCUUUUUGGCCCUUUUGUGAUGUGUGAAACGACGCCGUUUGGAGUCUGAUUAGUGGCUCCAAAACUGCGCCGUAUUGAGCUCUAACCCGCGCGGUGACCCGACCCAGGGGAAGGAUCCGCGUGUUUUCUUUAAAUGGGAUAUUUGUGCGCGCAGUCCCUCCGACUUUGAAGCGCGUUGCAAUUUGGUCCUAUUUCGCUAUUUCCUUUUAUUUUUUAAUUUAGCCCCAGAAUUUUAUUUUUGUUCUAAUUUGACCCUUUGCUGCGCAGUGUUUUGGGGUUUCAGGGUAUUUACCAUUUUGGUCCCCCCUUUUUCGCGCGCGUUACAUUUUGAUCCUUUAUUCUAUUUUAUUUUUUAUUUCAGCCCUAAGAUUUCAUUUCUGUUUUGAAUUAGUCCUAUUAUUAUUAUUAUUAUUAUUAUUAUUACCUAUUUAUUUAUACUGAUUUUAUUUAAAUUUCUGGUACGUAUAUAUAUUUUUAUAUAUUUUACAACUUAUGCACCUAUUUAUAUAUCUAUGUACAUAUUUUCAUUUUCAUAAAUACAUACAUGUUUAUAUAUAAUCUUUAUAGUCUAAAAUACAUCUUUUUUAUAUUUUUUGAAUCCGCAUAUACAUACACAUUUUUUAUAUAUUUUUAGCAUGUAUAUAAAUUAACGUAUUUAUUUGUAUACAUAUGUAUAUUUUCAUUAUUUUUAAAAAACUUUAAUUUGUACAUAUAUAUUUUCUUUUAUUUCACAAUAUAUAUACACUUACUUUUUAUAUGUAUUUCUUUAUUUUCGUAUUCCAUAGUUUUAUACACCUAUAUACAUGUACAUAUUUUUAUAUAUAUGCAUAUUUAUUUAUAUAUAUAUAUAUCAAAAUAUACUUUAUAUAUUUUGUUAAUUCAUGUAUACACAUAUUUUAGAUCAUGUCUAUAUAUAUCUUUUUAUACUUAAUUGUAUUUUCUAUUUAUUUAUUUCAUUUUUGUUAUUAUUUUGAACGAAUGUUUUAGUUUUAUUCGUUUUUUAUAUUUUGUUAUUUUAUAUGUUGUAAGUUUGAUCGUUUAUAUUGAUUGCUAUUGCUUGCAUCGUUUUUAUAUUUUCAUAUUCAUUAUGAUUUUGACAUGCAUAAAAAAUGUAAUUUGCUUUCACUAUGAUUUUGUGUUCUAUUCGAUAUAUAACAAAAUUUAUUUAUUUUAAUAAAUAGCACUCCGUGUAUUAGAUUCGAGAUGAUCGUACCCUAACUUAUUGGGUUUCGAUUUUCACGAUAAAUCUAAAUACACGAAUCUUUUUAAACUCAUUUUUUAAAAAAUGAUCUCGGGAUUAAAAAAAAUCGCGUCCUAACUUACUGGUUGUGAUCUCAUUUUAAAUCCGAGAUGGCUAAAAUAUCUUUUAAAUAAGCUCCUUUUUAUUCAUGUCGAGAAUUUGAGACAUUGUAUUCUAACUUACUGGAUAUGAUUCUCUUUCUCGAUUAACGUGAAAUAUACUUCUUUUUCCAAAAAUUUUCAUUUUAAUACAAGGAUCGUAUUUUUAAUUCUUUCAAGUUCAUAAUUUUCAAUAUCAAGACGUUAGAUAAUUAACUAGGUACCAAUUUCUGGGCGUUACGAGGGUGCUAACCCUUCCUCGUACGUAACCGACUCCUGAACCCGUUUUCUAGAUUCUGUAGACCAAAAUCGUUGUUUUAAUAAAAUCAAAUUAUUUAUUAAAAACAACCUCUUUCCAAGGUGACCCAAUCACACCUCAAAAAGGAUUGGUGGCUACUCCCUUUUUCGUUUUCAAAACCCAAGUCGACCCCGUUUUCAUCAAAAAAAUGGUGUCAACAACUAAUACGUAACCUAAGCAAACAAAAGUGACUAUUUUGGUAGUUUACCCUUAACUUUAAUUAAAUUAUUUAAAAUAAAUAAUUUUUUAAAUUAUAAAUAAACAUCUUUUCUUCUUUUACAAAUUUUAAUCAUUUUGUUUUUUUCAUAAGUUAAUAUAUUUUUUUAUUUUUGUGCAACCAAUUUUUAAAAAAUAGUAAUUUUUGUGCAAUAUUUUUCAUGUCAUUGAUACAUAAUUUUGAUAAUUAUUUUAUCCUGAACCCAAAACCUCGAACCUUGAACUCGAAACCCUGAACCUAAAUCUUGAACCCCGAAUCUCUUAGUUUAAGGUUUGGAUUCGAGAUUUAAAGUUCAGAAUUCGAGGUUCAAGUUUAAAGUUCGAGGGUUCAGGAUUAUGGGUUACGAGUUUAGGAUUCAUGAUUCAAGGGUUUGGAGUUUUAUGUUUUGGAUCUAGGUUUUAGGAUUCAAGAUUCAAGGUUUAGGGUAAAAAAUUUACCAAAAUUAUGUGUCAAUGACAUAGAAAAAAUUGUUGAAAUGUUAUUAAAUAAUUAGAAAGAGACCAUAAAUAAUGUAGUCCGAAAAGCCCAUAAAAUAAUAUCUUUAUCGAUGAGUGUAUAAUAAUUCAUGUCUUUAAAAUUUGAUGAUGUGACAAAAAAAAUUUAAUUUUUAGGAUCAUCCUAAUGUAAGUUAUUACCUUAUCUUAAUUAUUGGACUAUAUGUUUGUUUAGUUUCUUAACCACUUUCGUGGUAUUCUUUUAUAUGUUUAUCCUGGAUCCUUGCAUCAGAAAGAUGGAGGCGCACGUAAACCAUUCUUAUCAAGAGUAAAGCCCAAGAAAGAUGGUAGUUGAUUCGAACAACCAGCACAUCUCUUUACGACCCUAUUUAGCAAACCAAUCCGCUAACCUAUUGGCUUCUCGUCUGAUACAUUGACUUUCAAAGAAGAAAGUUGCAUGACCAGCUUAUCAAAAACCUGAAGGACUAGCCUUAAUCUCCAUCUUCGAUCUUGACUCUUCUUCUUAAUAUUCGAAGCAAUAGUCUGGGAGUCGGUCUUGAUUGUUACAUUGGUUCAUUUGUUCUUCAUAGCUAAUUCAAUCCAUCCAACCAUAGCUUUAGCCUCGACAACCUCACAUGAAUCUACUUAAUCGUUUUACCAAUCCCAUCCAGCAUCUUCCCACUUAAAUUUCAGCUUAUUACUCUAAUACCAGCACAAGCUAUUAAGGUGUCGAAUGCCCCAUCACAAAUUAACUUUAACCCAACCUUCUGGUGGUUUCUCCCAAAUAUCAGCACAAGUUUUUGACUUCCUAGUUCGAUCAGAGUUAUUGUUUGAACAGAGGAUCCAUUGAGCAGAUAAGAAUUCAUUCAUGGAGCAAUUAAUCCUUCGAAUAAUUCUCUCCAAACCAAGUUUCACGCCUCCAAUUGUAAGCUCACACCCAGCUUUCCAGAUGUGCUAGCAAGUGAAAACAAUUCUAACUUUGAAAUCCUCCAUCAUACAAGGCAUUUGUAACAACUUUGAGAACCAUCUGUCAAAGAUCAUUUAGCCCUUGAAGACCAAAACAAGCCUCAUACUAUAUUCCCCUAACCCAAUUACAACUAAGAAUAAUAUGUUCAAAGUCUCAUCUUCAAUACCACAUAAACAACAAAAUUGGGUUCGAAACACACUUUCUUUUCCACGGAUUAAAACGAGAUGGAAUGGCAUUAUGACACAAUUUCCAUAAGAAAAUUUUAACUUUCUUCGGUACCUGUAAGCUCCAAAUAGCUUUCCAAGUGCUCCUAUCGAUUAAGUGAGAGCUGGAAGGUUGUAAAGAAGACUCAUUUCCAUAGUGCUUUCUCAACUCCUUGUACCCUGACUUCAUCGGAUAUUGACCAACAGCUGUAAACGGCCACACCAAUUUAUCUUGUUCAUCUGUUUCAUGAAGAGGAACUUUAAAUUUCGUAAUUUCAAUAUCUUCUAACCAUAUUGAGAUACUGGGUAAGUCCCAAUUUAGUUCUUCUAAACAAAUGAUCUCAGCAACCAUAUAUCUUCCCAAAUACGGAUGCUUUUGCCAUUUAGCACUUGCCAAAUCAAAGUCUCCUUUUAAAAACUCUUUCCCUUCAAGAGCGCUACUCCAUACCCAUGAUGACCUAGCUCCCUUUUUAGCUUCAAGGAAAUUAGAAGUCGGGAAAUAAAGUCCUUUUAAAAUCCUAGCCCAAAGAGCAUCAGGAUCCUGGACUAACUGUCAAGAUUGUUUUGCAAGUAGAGCAAGUCCUCCAAGCUUUUCAAUGAAUACGUCUCUCAUUUUUCUACUAUUGGAUAAUGACUACCAAGGCUAAUCCCAGAAAUAAAACUAGACUCGACUCUAUUAAUAAUCAUACGAGAGAGGACAUUCACAACAAAAAGGAAGAGGUAAGGUGAUAGAGGGUCACCUUACCUUAGACCUCUAGAUGGAUAGAUUUUUCCACUAGAUUUACCAUUAAUAAGCAAAGUGUAAGAAACAUUCCUCACACACUCGAUUAUCCAAUCAAUCCAUGUUAAAGCAAAUCUCAUUUUUCUUAAAAUAAUUUCCAGAAAUUUCCACUCUACUCUGUCAUAUAGCUUCCAAGCAACCUCAUAUUUCUUACCCCUCUUCUUCAAUUUCAAAUGAUGAAAACCUCUUGAGCAAUUAAGAUGUUAUCAUGUAUUUGUCUACCUACGGUAAAAGCACUUUGAUUAUUCAUAAUCACUACCCCUAGAACUCCUUUCAAUUAUUCACCAUGAUCUUCGAUAUGAUUUUAUAGGCAAAAUUAUAAAGAUUAAUUAGUCUAAAUUAUGUAAUUAAUUCAAAACAUUUAGUCUUCAGAAUUAAAAUUAUCUCAAUCUCAUUUAAACCCAUUGAAAAUUUCCCUUCCCUAAAAAAAACUCUUAAUAGCUUCCAAAACAUCCUUCUUAGUAAUUUCCCAAUAAUUAUGAUAGAAAAUUCCGCUAAAAUCAUUCGCAAAAAAAAAAAGAGAGAUUAAUUUAAUUGUUUUGUAUGCUUAACUUGUACCAUAUAAGUAAAAUCUUAUAAUUUCAUCUCCAAAUUCUCUCAACACAAUUUUCUGAUCCUUAUUUAUAAUCUCAUUUGUAUCUAACAUGAUAUCCAAUUUAAAAUUAAAUAGUCUUUUUUAUAUAAUGAAUUAUAUAUUUAUUUGAAUCUCCUCUUAAAUUAAUUAGAGUGAAGUUUCUUAUUUAGUAUUGACUGUUCCAUAAAGUAUUCAAAGUUUUCAAAUAGAUUUAUUUUUUUAAGUAUAGUUAAUAACCAUAAUAAAAACUAAAUUUUAUAAGUGAUGAAUUUAUAUUAAAUAUUAUUUAAUAAAUUAAUAAAAUAUAAGUUUGAGUUCAUCUAUUUUUGCAUUUCUUUUACCUACUUAAAUUAAUUCCUAAUUUUUCUUAUUUUUUUAAAUUUAUUCCUAAUUUUUUAUACAGGAAAUUAUAUCGGUGAGGAAAUAAAAGAGUUGGGAGAGAACAUGGUUAAACAUUGUGCAGGGCUGCCAUUAGCCAUUGUUGUAUUGGGAGGAAUUUUGGCUACAAAGAAUAAUUCAUUAAACGAAUGGCGAAAGAUAUCUGACAAUGUAAAAUCAUACUUGAAGAGAGGCAAGGUCCAGAGGAUGUGUUAGCAUUAAGUUAUGAUGAUUUGCCUCCCUAUCUAAGACCAUGUUUCCUCUAUCUAAGCCAUUUUCCGGAGGAUUAUAUGAUAGAUGUGGAUAGAUUGAUUCAAUUAUGGGUUGCUGAAGGUAUUGUGUCAUCAAAGCAAGAAGAAAGAGACGAUGGGGAAAUUGCGGAAGAUGUGGCGGAAUCUUAUUUAAUGGAGCUUGUGGAAAGGUGCAUGAUUCAAGUACGAAGAAGAGAUGUGGCAACCUUAAAGGCAUGAUCUGAUGAGAGAUCUUUGCUUGUCAAAGACAAAACAAGAAAAUUUUGUCUUCAUUGUUGACCGAUCGAAUGCAUCUUCAUUAUCUAUGAUUCGGAAGGUUCGUAGGGUUUCUGUGCAUGAGUUUUUUUUCAUACAAUGCAUUAAAAAUCCAAAUAUUCGGUCACUUUUGUUCUUCAAUCAGUUCUUUCCGGGGGAGGCAUUAGAAAAAUCUUUGCCCUUGGAAGUGUAGAAUUACGUUAAAAAACACUAUGACGAUUGUUGUAAGCCACUAUUUUUUAUUCUUCUGAUUUUGGCACGUUCUACAAUACGUCAUAAAAUUCGGGGAAUUUGUAGAUACACGUUCAACAACUUUAAAUUGCUAAGAGUCCUAAACUAUGAGAUAAGAAGAACACGUGAUCUUUUUGGAGGGUGGAAGUUACCUAGUGAUAUAGGUAAUGAUAUAGGUAAUCUCGUCCAUUUAAGAUUCUUGAGUCUAAGGAAUCUUAAAUUCCAAUGGUCAAAGUUGCCAUCAUCUCUAGGCAACUUAAGGUGCUUGCAAACCUUGGAUUUAAGAGUUGAUAGUUACAAAAUUCAUGUACCUAAUGUGAUAUGGAGGAUGGAGCAACUAAGACAUUUAUAUCUCCCUUGGAGAUGUAAAAGCAGAACUAAGUUGAAGUUGGGUACUUUAAGAAAACUCCUAACACUUGUGAACUUCAACACCAAGAAUUGUUAUCUGAAGGAUCUUAUCAACAUGACAAAUCUUAGAGAGUUGGAGAUUUAUGGGCCCUUUAAUAUUGAAAAUUUCAAUGAGGAGGAGUUGGGCGAGAAUCCACCCAUAAUCGGAAGUAAAUAUCUUCAUUCCUUGUCUAUUA